rnacentral:lncRNA from 1 species
GCUCCGCCACGCCGCCGCCCUAGCUGCCGGCCCUGACCUCUUCUCCCCUCCGCCCUCCUCGCUGCCAGUCCUCCUCCACUUUGCCCCGUCGCCGCUGCCAGUCCUAGAUCCGCCGCUGCAAUUCACCGCCGGUCCCCUCGACGCGAUUCGCCCCAAUCCCGAAACCGUUCGAAGAUGCCGAAGGCCAGCAGGCGGCGCAUGAGGAGGGAUCCGGGGAAGGAGAGGGAAGCGAAGAAGAGAAGCCUGGCAGAGGAUCGGACGGUGAUGUUCGCGGCUUUUGAGAAUGAAAAAAUCCAAUCCGAAGCAAAAUUAGGUAUGUAGCCAACCUCCACAUAAUUUUCCUCCUCAUCACGGCAUGAGUAGUAUUGCUGCCAUACCCUUGUUGUUUACUUGGUUGAUAGAACUCAAAUCUCUAACUCUAUAUUAGUUCCCGGUCUUGCAUGGCUUGUAAUUUACUGCGACGAGUUAAAAUUCUUCUCUUUUUUGGAAAUAGAGAAAAAAUUCUGUAAUCAUUCAUCUGUCUGUGAGUUACAUUUUAGUGUUUUACUUUGUUCAGAUCUGCUAUGCCAUGAGCUAUCUUCCACUGUUUCAGUCUAUAUUAGUCAUUGCGUGAUGUCUCUUUAUUUUGAGUACUUCGUCAUGUCUCUCUCCCAGUCCUGACUCACUUGCUUCUACCCAAACCUUGAUGUAUGCUAGUCAUGCAUGAUGCUAGUUCUACUUUUUAUAGCAUCAGUAAUAGGUGUUUGAGUUGCAAUUUGGUCAGGGUUUGCAUUCAUAUUGCUAGGAAAUCAGUUUAGUUGCUUUUGCAUCAAACCCUUGUUCUUUUUUCGAUCUCUCUAGCUUAGGAAAUUAUUUGCACUAGUAUAGUUGAUCCCUGUGGAAUACGACAACCCUGCUUAUCAUUUUUCUUACAUCAAUUUUGGUGCUGUAGAUCGUGUGUACGACAAUGUGGUUGAGUCCUCAAUGGAGGAAUCCUCCAAUCCACCCAGCCCUCUGCUCCACAGGCCCUACAUCCCCGACGAGCUAGCUGACAGGGCGGACGUACGUGCCGCCUUCCAGAAUGCCAUGUUACAAUUCGAAGCAGACAUAAGUCGGGUCCCCUCCCUCUAGCUUGAUCCCGCUUUUCAUCGUUAUCAUCAUAGCUAAUUUUAUAUAUGCAGAUCGUCGGUCUGAUCUCUUCACCUUGGAUCGCUACUAUACUCGUUCCUGCCUGACCAAGGACCGACGCCUUCUUCACAUCCGCGAGUCUGCAAAGGAUGCCGUGCUUCUUGCCGCCAACUCCGUCAUCAGCCUCUCGUCCUAUCUCGGUAUGAACACAUGUAACUAAACAUAUAAUUAAUAUUUUCUAGCACAUCUGCCGAGCUAGUGUUGCGACUUUCGGUUUGCUUUCCUUGCAGACGAUGAGCCGCUGAAUAAGUGCUGUGGUUUGUGGAUUCAACGGGACGACAAGGAGAAAACCGCCAUUGUUUUGACGUCCGCGCAUCUCAUUCGGGCAAAUCGCACAACGGAUCCCAAGAAGCUGAACAAGUGGUUGUUCGAGUGGACAGGCAAAUAUCAUCGUGAUGCUAGCGUGAGCUUCUUAACAUUAAUUCACUAUUGUAUUAUCUAUCUUCUUCAUGCGCUAGUCUUUGUUUCUUUCUUUCUUUGUUUCGGGUGUGUUUGAGAGGGCUCCACUCCAGCUAAACUCCACUUCACCUCUAAACUCCACUUCAUUUUCACUCCACUUCACCAACUAAAUGUGUUUGGCUCUCAAGCUAGCUCCAGAUUCAUGAUGGCCUUAACCGUACGGGAACAGAUCUGUUCUUCCACACUCAAAUCAAUCAAGCUAAUCAACCAAGGACGUCUCAAUCAAUCAACUGUGAAACCUGCUACCUUCGUUGCUAUGUCGUCUCAGUGGAGAAAAGGGUGGCUGAGGCAGCAACGUCCUGCUGAACUGCUGAAGUGCAGAGAGCGGCAGCAUCAGCGAGUUCUACUGGAUGCGGUUGCGGCAGACCUGCGACGGGGCAUAGGCCUGUAAGCUCUCCUUGAGUUUUGCUGGAGGACCACGACGAUAUCUGCUUCAGUAGGGGCGGAGGUGGCGCCUUGGUCGUGCUGGUGCAGGGGACUCGGCUCCUUGGGGGUUGUGGAGGUGGGGGGCGGGCCUCGCCGGAGAUAGAGCGCCGGCUCACUGGAGGAUGAGCAUGCCUCGCCUGCGGCCGGGUGCGCCGCUACGGGGAGACAGGAGGAAGAGGAGUCACGUACGAGAGGAAGAGGAGGAGUCAGGGAGGUUCUGUUCGCGUAGAUAACGGUUCAGGGUUAAUGAGUGGCAUUGGUGGGCAAAUUACCCCAGCUUUAGGUGAAGUGAAGCAGGUUAAAAACCUCUUUCUUGACUCCAGUGAAAUGAACUAGAGGGCUGUACUGCUCCACUUCACCUAACAUAUGGAGUUUGGGGUGUUUGGGACAACUUCACCCACUACACAGGUGAAGUUGUGAAGUGGAGUAGUCCCAAACAGGCUCUUCGUCUCAAAAUUUAAUUAUUUGUAAUGCCUCAGUGGGCAUCUGGUUAGCAAUUAAAAGUGUUAUCUCUUCAAUUUCCGUAGAAGACUUGAUUUGGUGCGGUGUUCGUUUUUUCUGAUAGUUAAUCUCUUAAAAAUGGUUUUGCCAAAUACUAUGAAUUUUUUCUCGGAAUCAUAGUGUCAUAAUUUUUGCGGUUGUCUUUCCAGGUCACUGUUCACUUUCUGGAUGGCACAACUGCAUUAGCCAAUCUCAUCUACCUCCAGGAGCACUACGAAUUUGCUCUUUACGAGGUUGUAGUGGACAAACCAGUUCAACUGUCCACUUUUAAUGACAAUGUGCAUUCUGGUCAAGAUGUUCUCCGACUUGGAAGAGAUGAAAGUCUUGAUCUAAGCAUAACCCAUGGUAGGGUGCAUUAUAGGAUUCCAUCCAGUUAUGAGAGAUGCCACUACAUGUAUUUUAGCCACGAUGGACCAGAUGUAUGUACUAUUGUACUAUUUAAUUCUAACUUUAUGUUUUGUUUUUCGAUCUUAAUAUCUUGUUAGUAUAAAUUAUAAUGUUUGUUAUUGUCACUAUGUUGUAGUUAGUUCAUGAUGACGGAGGCCCUGUCAUUGACUUAGAAGGGAAAGUUGUGGGAAUGGUUCACAAUCAAUGCGUAGAGUCGUUUUUACCUUCUUCUAUAUUGCACAAGUGCUUGGAUUUGUGGAGGAAGUUGAAGUACGAUCUUUAUUGUCAAUUCAUUUUUCUACUGCUUUUGAUUACACUAACGCAUUCUCUUAUAUAUGUUACCUCAUUCAUUUCAAUUGAACAACUACAAAAUUAUGUUUAGAUUGUGAUUGCUUAGCAAUUAUUACGUUUGAAUGAAUUGCUAAAUUGUGAUUUAGAAGAAUCAUUACGUGAGGCCUAGGUGCCAAAAUGUGUGUAAGAUUAUAUAGAGAAAAUGUGUGUUGGUCACCUUAUCGAACUCUGCAUGUUUUCCAAACUAUUCCUAUCCAGUGUGUAGGAACUAAAUUUGGUGUAAAUAUUCAGUUUUUCUACUUGGUGAUCUAUUUUCCUGGCUUAAUCCUCUUUUGAGCACGGCAUGAACUAAUGUCUUGUUAUGGUAUUAAUUCUAUAAUAAUGUUCUUGCCUAUGUUUUGUGUGAUACUUAUUUGAUAUUGAUUCUAAUAAAAUAUGUUGUUUUAUUUAACAUAAGUCUGUAAAACGAUUACAGUCUUAAUGAUUAUAUUUUGUGUAGGUGCGUCCCUCGUCCCCACCCUGGAAUGACCUUUAUUUCCAUCAAGCUUCUAGAUCCUAUUUGUACUGAGAGGAUGAGGCGUAAGCAUAACAUUCAGUCUGGUCUUAUUGUUGAAGCGGUAAUGUUUAACAUUAUUUAUUUUUACAUUGUAUUAGUUUUCCCUAAAAAAAAUCCUCAUAUGCAAAUUCUGGUUUAAUCAUGAUCAAUUAAAUAUUAGGUGUCAAAAGAAUCGAAUGCUGAGAAACUUGGAAUCCGCAGGGGUGAUAUUAUUGAAAGUUUCAACGGAGUGUAUAUUUCUACUACAAUUGAGGUAGGUAGUAAAUUGGAAAAGGAGUAUAUAUAUAGGCAGGGAAUGGAGAGUAUAUUCCUACUACACUUUAUGCUCUUGGCUUUUGUAACUUGUCAGUUGGAAAAGAUGUUGCUGGACAUAGGCGGGGAACAUUUUCAUCAAGCAAAAGUCUUAGAUGCCGAAGUAGAUAUUCGAGUAAGUUACUAUUAUGUUUUAACUAUGGAUUACUUAAAUUUAUGUCGACCAUAGCACUUUGAAAUAAUAUUGUUGACUUUACAGAUUCAAAUAUUUCGUGCCACGGAACUUUGCCGAAGAGCUAGAAACUUGACUGUAAUUGUAUCUGAUUGUGGAGAAGACAUCAUAGAAGGUAAACAUCUUUUUUAACGUAGCAGUUGAUUUUUGCUGUGAAUCUAAGUUAUCGUAUUUCCCUCUUGUGUAGAUUCAAUCUAUCUUGUUCACCAAUUGCCCUGAGCCUUUAUUUUAUAUGUGGUGUGUUUAAUCGAACCUUGAUGUUUUUUAUUUGUGUAGGCACUUACCCUAUCACUGUUGGCUUUGGAAAAGAGAUCAACUGAUUCUUUCAUGGAGCCAAUGGCACUUGCCCUAUCCAUGGUGGUGGCAGUACCACUGAUUGGGUAAGUGCCAAAGGCCCUCGACAACCAGAGCCUGUCGCUGUCUGCCGUCAUCGAUGACCGGACCCUGCCGCUGUCUGCCUGUCUUUGUAUGCUGCUACCAGUGAACUUCGUGCUGCUAUUUUGCUGUCUUCGUAUGCUGCUGCCACUGAACUGAACUUUAAUGUAUGGUUGCGUUGCUUAUGUGGACUUGCGUGCUUAUGUGGACUUAAUUUCGCUUUUCUGAAACUUCAGAACUUGUGAGUUCAGAAUUGAGUAUUAUAGAUGAGUUAUGUUAAUUGUCACCUGUUUUGCGUUGUUAUGCUGUUGAAAUUUCUGCUGAAUAUGUCUACUGUGUAUGUGCUUAACAGAAAUUUCAGUAUAAACUGAAAACCGAAACCGCAUCUUCGGUUUUGCUGAUUCAGUAACCAAUUUCAGGUACCUGUGCUGCUAACCGUAAUAAGAAAAAACAGAAUUUUCGGUUUUAACCGAAUGCCCAGCCCUACCCGUGGGGCUGGUAUUUAUAGGCUAUGUGUCCACAACCAAUGACCAUGGCUACCAUUGGUGGUGGAGAAAACGGAGGGCAAAAUGAGAAAAAAAAAAAAUCUUGGUCCAUUGCUUUAUGGUGCACUAAGUGGGAAAAGAGGGCAUUUGCCUCAUCCUUCCAUUUAGGGUGGGCGUAAAAAACCGGAACCAAAAACUGAACCAGAAUUAAUCGAAACCAAAUUAAUCGAUAAUAAAUUUGGUGGCUAAGUGUGAUUCGGUUAUUAACCUCGUUUGACGGAAUAAACCGGAUUAAUGAAAAAUAGUCUAAAACAUACACAGUUACACAUUGUAUGAAGUGAUUCUGAAUUUUGAUGUAAUUUUCAAGGCUUCACGACCUUCGGUUAUGUCAAAGUUUCUUUGUAUGAGACUUCGAGCCAUAGUCUUCAAUUAUUCUAUCAUUUUAAUUGACUUUUAGUGGAUUUAUAAUGAUUUCGUAAUUCUCUAAAUUUAACUCUGCAAGAAAGCUAAAAAAAAACUCUGCAAAACAGAUUUGUUUGUUUUUAGUGUUUUUAACUUUCAGGUACCAACUAGAGGUUUCUCGGCAAAAACUCCUACACCGGUCCGGUGCCCUUCCAUUUCACGCAACAUCGUUGUCACUUGUCACCGGCGUGAAAUUAGCCGUGUGCGACAUCUAAAAGCUGCUUAUUAGCUUUCUCAUCCCACUAGUAGAAUUGCACGUGCAAUGCACGUCUCGAUUAAUAUAAAUUCAAUUAGGUGUAUUACAAGCACACACACAGAAAAAAUAAAUCAAAAACUCGUCAUAACACCCAACACAUAGUAAUUAGCUUAAAUACUGAGAAACAUUGACAUAAAACUUAAGUCAUAUUAGCCUAAACCAUUAAAUCAAUUGGUCACACAGAAGUCAAAUGAAUCAAUUAAACAAGGAAAAGAUACCCCAACAUUGUUACUUGCCUUGCUAUUGCUGCUCAUCUCACUCAAAUGUUAUGUUUACAAAUGAUGCUAACCGUAUUGCUCAAAUAUCCCCUGUGAAGACCGAUCAAAUUUUAGUCAAUGGACACUUCUCGCUGCUUUAACAGAGUGGCUUCUCCUGUACUUCAUUCUCAUAUGCUUUCUUCAAGUCCUCUGAAGUUACAGGUGUUGGAACAUAUACAUUCAAGCUUGAAAUCUCCCAUAUUGCAUCAAAAUACAAGGCAUUAUCCAUGAUCUUACACAACAUCAGGAUAUACCCAAGAGAAAACAUGUACGAAAGGGAAGUACCGCCCUACCAAAGCUUCUAAUUUUGUAGUGCUGCCAGGGCGUAGAUUCUUUUCCAGCACUGGCCAACCAAAGAGCAACAAUAACAGCCUAAGAAAAAACAUGUUUACUCGAUAGCAGUCCUCUGUAAAUAGAAACAGAAAGCUAUGACUGUAAAAAGUAAAAACUCAUGUAUUUCUACACUUUAGUCUUUAGUUGUAUCCAUGGCUUUAAACUCCACGACGUAUGCAAAACUGAUUGCUCAAGAAAUCCCUUCAGAAUCUAGAAAAAACAUCCUAAGCAUGCUAUAAACACGAAGAAUAAUUUCUUGGCAUGUUUGCAACUGAAAAUAGACAUCAUCAGGCCUAGAUAAACACUCAAUUCAAAAUUACGCAGAUGGCAAAUACCUAGGAAAUAAAUUUAAUGAAGAUUGUUACUUCGUCAAUAAGCUGUCCAUUCAGAAAAUCGACAAGCAUCAGACAACCCAGGACCUGCAAAUCAUCAUUCAUUUCUGAUCAAGAAGAGUGCAAACAAUACUUAGCGUGCUUGUUGCCAGUAAUGGCCUGACAAGAAUGAUUCAAUCAAUCUAUUAGCCAAGAUUAGUCCUGAAUGCAUUACUGGAUGAACAGAAAGGUUGCACUUAUGUAUGCUCCUUGCAUGAACGCAGAAGUUUCCUAUAGAUGCAUGGUGGAGAACAACUUUGGCUAAGGUGAAAGUCUCAUUAGUACAAAUUCGGAGUAAAAUUACUCAGAUAGGAAUCUUGUCAUCUUGCCACAGUAAAAAAGAACAAAAAUUCUUGCAUGUUUAAUAUGUGAUAUCGUAAAAAGAAAUAUAUGAAGUGCAGAAAAUCAUAUAUGAUUACCAUAAAUUGGCCCAGCUGAAAAUUCAGGGGAGACCAUUAUCUAACAAGCCAGGCUUCAAGCCGAUAUCCCUGUGUAGAAAUAUUCAUCCUGGUGCUACACUUAAGAACCAAGGUCAGGAAUGAAAUGACCCCAUGAUGAAAAGGUUAUAGCAGCGUUCUGGUGUUCAAUAACAAUUGUUUGUUGCUAGGAAUCGGCAGGAAUAACAACAGAAAGCGAACAAUGAGCUAGAAAGCAGUACUUCAGCCUUGGGUAAAAUAAAGUAAUUAAACAAAAUAAUUGGUGAUAGUGAGUGGAUGAUUGAAUGCAUUGCAUUAUUAACAACUCAUAAUAUUAUCUAGUAAAUUGUUAAAGAGCACAUAAACAGGCAGGAUUAUAGUAAUGCCUGAAAGCAAAAGAAAGAACCUUGGUUUAAGAGCCUGGUAUAGAAGGGAAGAACUUGAAGGAACGGGGCAUUUUUUUGCCUCGCGGCAAGCAACUCAGCCAUAUAUCUGGCGGACAAAAAAGCAUUACUGUAUUAGUAUAACACAAGUCACUCUAACUCUAUUGUUUUUUUUUGACCGGGUCUCUAACUCUAUUGUUGUUUGUACAAAUAGAACUGUAAGCUGAAGAGUAAAAAUACUCUACUUAUAUCAUUCUAAGAUUAAUUUUCUGAAGAUGACUCCCCUGCAACCCACUUUAUUGACACUCAAUUAAGAGAUGUGUGGCAUAUACAUAAGAAAAUUAACACAAAAUUACAGAAGGGUACAUCCAAGCUAAUUGAAUUACUACUCACAAAAGAACUACUAGCUCUUUCUAUGUAUUAACAAUUGUUUGUAUCCAGUUUGUUCUAACCUGUAAUAUGCCAUGAAACAAACUUAUCGUGGUCUACCUCGAGAAUAAGAUUAAACAGAUUCCAACUAACUUAAGAAAGAGAAAGGUAUAUGCCUCCUUGGUAAAUCUGAUAGGAAUUGCUUUGCAUUACUAUAUUGUCGGAGAAAUCAAUGGUUUGAAGUCAAAAUGAUUGAUCGGUUCAGAGAUAUACCUUUUUAUUCACAUGAGUAUCAUCAUGAGAUUCAUAGAACACCUUGUUGGUAGUCAGCAUGAAGAAAGUAAGUGCUGCCAUCCUGUGCAUUUGUAACUGAUCAAAAUGGAGGGGGGGGGGGGGGGGUGAAAAACAACAACUGCACAUGGGAUUUGAAUGACAUGGCUGAAUUUGUUUUCGCCAACUCCAUCUCUAGGUGCAAUAACAAUCAGUCAAGGGGCCUCGUCUAAGAGCAUAUAAGAGACAAUAUAAAUACCAUAAUUUGGCAGACAUACCUGUAAAAGAUAAUACGUUCAGGAUCAUGUUUCAAUCAUGUUCCCUGGAUCUAAUUUGACAAGACAUUUAAGUCUCAGUUUCAAGACCAGUAAUUAUGCAUAUAUAUCUCACACAUUAGUACACUGCAUGAGUGCUAGACCAAAAAUUUAAGAUUCAAAAAUUCAGAUCACAUAGUAACACUUCGAGUAAAUCUAGACACACAAAAUUCAUCCAUUCGUGUUACCUUUUAGUGACUUGAUUGCUGCAACUUGUUAUUCUGAACUCUAAUUAACCUGCAGAAGAGAAACGAUUAGGCCUGAUAACUUGUUGUUGUUCUAGGAAUCUAGGGUUAAAGAGCAGGGAGAGGAACCACAUCAGAGAGAGAGAGAGAGAGCUAUGCCUCCUUGGUAAAUCUGAUAUGAAUUGCGACGGAGACUGCGGAGCGCUGGAGGGCCUGGGAGACGGCGGGGCGGGCCUGUGCGAAGGCGGCGCUAGAGGUGCGGCGCGGGACCGAGGCCGCUGGAGGGGCUGGAGUGCAGGAGGAGGCGAGAGGGCAGGGGCGACGGCAACGGGAGUUGAAAAGGAGGGCAGAGACGGGGUGGGGAGCGUGCGAGGCGGGCUGAGGCGGGGCAGAGGAGAGGGCAGCGGGGGGAGGAGGCGGCGGCGGCGGCCUCAGGAGGCAUCGUUGGAGGCUGGAUGGGGAAAAGAAAAGAAAAAAAGGGUUGGAGGGGGUGGAAUUUCAGCCUAAACAUGAGCGCGCACGGUUAGCAAAUAAUUCAUGUUCACUGACUCUGAUCGUGGGGCUAUUACUACUCCGUGUACGUUUAGUGGACGUCGGAUAAAUAUGUUGGUGUCUUUAUAAGUAGCAGAGAUAAUGAUAAAAUUUAAAAAACUCUACAAAUCCCCGGUACAUCUCUCUGCAGCUCGCAACCGGCCAACGAGAAGGGCGGAGGCAAAGAGGAAAGAGACAGCGUGACGUGGCAUCUCCAAGGCGCUCUGCCUUCCUGACGUGUCAUCCCUGACGUGCGGGCCCGGGACCUCAGCCUGUCCACGUUGAUCCGUCAGCGCAUCAGCGGUUCGCGACUCGCCUUCCUCCGUCCUUCAGCGCGGAUCGACCGGGACUCCUCUGUUUUCCCCCAAAUCUUCUCGUCUUCUUCUUCCACCGCUCGUUUCUCCAGGAACCUUCCAGAAGCUUCUCGAAACGACAGGCCGUGUGGUGCGGGUCUCUAUCUCUGUCCUCCCUCGGGUUCUAAUCGCUGUCGAUUUAUCUUCCAGGCGUGAUAGCAUUCGCUGUUUUCUUGAUGUUCGUAGUUGUGAGGGAGGCGCAGAUCCAGGGUUUCCUCCUGCCAUGGUGAAGGAGACCGCCUACUACGACACCCUGGGGGUCAGCGUCGACGCCUCCCCCGCCGAGAUCAAGAAGGCCUACUACGUCAAGGUGAUUGAUGGACGGACGGAUGAAUGAUUCCUUUGUUGCGUCCUUGAGUCUUCAGCGCUAUUGGGCUAUCUCUGUGCGCUAAAUUGGUUGGUGUUUUUUCUGCGUUUCAGGCGAAGCUGGUGCAUCCGGACAAGAAUCCUGGGAACCCCGACGCGGCGGUGAAAUUUCAGGUGGGUUUUGUUUUGGUGCCUAACUGCAUGCCUUAUAUGGACGCUGUGGCAGUUUUGUUGUGGACGAGCAGAAUUGUGUGGCCAUAAAGGUCUGUUGUUAUAGAAUUCAUGUAGCUAAACCGUGUGGUUUGGAUCUAGGUGUGAGCUAAAAUAUGAGUUAGGAAAAGAAGAGUUUGGCUGUGGUAGCAUCAAUUGUUACUCCUUAUGAAGUAUAGUAAUUAACGACUGGCGAGAUGUUCAGUGCCAGUAUAUUCUGCAUAUGUAUUUCAUUUUCACCAUGCCUUGUUCAUGAUAGGAUGGUUCCUUGCUGAGUAGUGCUUCUAUGCUCGUGGAUGUAAAUGUGGAAUCUAUUAACUGUAAUGCUUAUAUGUCAUCAAAUAUAUCUUUAAAUGAUAUCCCCGAUGCGAAGAUCAUUGGGUUAAAGCUUGCUAUUAACAGGAACUUGGGGAGGCCUACCAAGUUCUAAGUGAUCCAGCUAAAAAGGAGGCUUAUGAUAAGCAUGGAAAGGACGGUCUUGCCCAGUAAGUCAUGUAUUUAUUGAGUUAUAUGCUUUAUUAAACAGUAGGUAUUUUUCUCAAUACAAUAUUAGCAGACCUUUCCAGGAUUGUUCUGAUUAAACUAGCUGGCUGGGAGCAUAGAGCAGGGUGAUUUAGUGGAUUGUUGAUGUAGAGAGAAAGAGGAGGGCACAACAAGAAAAAGGCUUGAGGGGAACUACAGGGGGUGAAAAUGGGGGUCAAGUUAAGAUAGCCUCUCGAAUUUAUGGAUGGAUAGACAGUAUAGCAACUAAGUAGCUAUUUAUAAUAAAGUACCUGUUGGGGGACAUAAAAGUAACUACUCUCGAGACAGACGAUUAAAAACUCCAUUCAAGAUUCUACUUAUAUCUUUAUGCAGAAAUAAAAGGCUAAUUGGCUUCCUUGCUUUGUGGUUAUCUUCUUACUUGCUUAAUCAAUGUUGUCAGGGAUAACAUGGUAGAUCCAGCUGCUGUCUUUGGGAUGCUUUUUGGAAGCGAUUAUUUUGAAGAUUAUGUUGGUCAGCUUGCUCUGGCAUCCAUAGCUUCAGUGGAGAUUGAUGAAGGCUCAAGCAAUCAAGAGGCCACAGCAAAAGUUCAAGAGAAGAUAAAAGUAUGCUGCUUCUGCUUAAUCCAUUGCGCUGAAAUAUAAUCUAGUCUAGGUUCUGCCAUGCUGAUAAAAGUAUGCUGCUUCUGCUUAAUCCAUUGCGCUGAAACAUCGCACCCGGCGGAGCUUCCCGUUACUCCUGCGCGGAACCCUAGAUCGGUAGGGGGUGUUCGGUGGGGUGUGCGGCACAGCGACGAACCUUGUGUUGCGUGCCGCCGGCCCCCACCUCUUUAUAUUGCGUAGUGUAACAGGGGCCCGCCAACCAUAUUGGGUUGGGCGCCGCUGAUCAGGGCGCUGUAGAUCUAAGGGCCCGGUGGGCCCACAUGGGUGGAGAUCAUACUAAUUUGAUUUCGCUCAAACCAAAUUUGCCACCAGCCAAGCAUGAUAGCAGUUCUCAGCCGGGUGCGAUUUUUGGCGGACUGGCAGCGAAGAUCUUCAUUAGUCCACCAAUCGAGAGGAUGGAACGCCCGGCUAGGUUUGGUUUCUAGUUUUAGUCGUGGUGUUUGAUCUUGUAAUUGCCUAGCUGUAGCUUUUUGCUUCCUGGUUGCUCUCUUUCCUUCUUAAGUAAUGAAAAGCAGCGCUGCUGCAUUUUUGUCAAAAAAAAAGUUACUUCAGUGUGCAAGGGGAGGGCGCGGUCUCUGCCGAGCGACCCAGGGAGAUCGUAGCAUGCAUGGGCAUGCCUUUAACACUCGGAUAAGAAUACAAGGUGAGAUGAGGAUAAUCAUAGCAGUUUAAAUGUUUAAUACAUAGCUGCAUCCACAAAGGGAUACGAAUUACGAAAUGCUUUCGAACCAAAAAGGAAACCUUUAUCCGUACCCGGUAGCUAAAAAUAAAACAGUACAUGACUAAAUGUGAGUUUCAGGAGUAACCCAUCCCUUCAUAUGAAAAUGGCCCAUAGAUUUUGGCAACAAGUAAUUAUGUAUUAUCUUCCUCCAGAAAGACCAGUCAUGGUCGUCGCCACAGAAGCGCAUGACAGGAUAUGCAUCAUAUGCUGAUCGAAGUCUUCAUCCCGGGUAGUAAGGCUUAAAAAGCUUGCUUGGAAAUCUGGGAGUGACACAUCCUUUACAAGGUAUUGCAUAACUAGGCGCAUGCAUGGCCUAGCACUGUGUACUGAGUGUGAGCAUAGCAGGCCAAGCUUUAGUACUAAAUCUGCCUCCUCCUUGACAUAAUCUUGUAAUUUUGGGUCUACUGUUUUGAGUAUUGAACCGCUCUCCCAUGCAUCGAUCACCCAAUCUGUCAGUGGCACCAGCUCGCCAGAAUUGUUCACUUCUAUUGGGUGCCUUCCACAGGCAACCUCCAACAUGAACACCCCGAAUGCAAAAACAUCAGUUGCCUUGGUUGCUCUUCCUAGCCUGGCUAGCUCAGGAGCAAUGUAACCCCAGGUGCCGGCCAAAUGCGUGGUGUGGGCGUCUGUUCCAUGGUUGUGCAAUCUCGCAAGGCCGAAAUCACCAAGUCUUCCAUUCAUUUUGUUAUCCAGGAGAACAUUGCUCGUCUUGAUGUCUCGAUGGAUCACAACUUUCUCCCAAUCCUCAUGGAGAUAGAGAAGACCAGAUGCAAUACCUUUUAUAAUGUUAAAUCUAUGUAUCCAAUCUAUAGUCGGUUACCUUGACCAUGCAAAACUCUGUCAAGACUACCAUUUGGCAUGUAAUCAUAAACUAUAAGAAGUUCAUUUUUGUGACGACAAUAACCGAGUAACUAGACAAGAUUGUGAUGGCGGAGAUGACCGAGAAUAGUAAUCUCAGCUAUAAAUUCCUUCAUCCCUUGCUUUGAAUCUGGUGAAAUCCGCUUGAUCGCAACAUUUUUCUUGGAGCUUUGUAGAAUCCCUUUGUAAACCUUUCCAAAUCCACCUUUACCGAGUAGCAUCCUGUUUUUGAAACCGUUGGUUGCGGUCACGAGAUCUUUAUAUGUGAAAGACGGAGACCCACAAUUGAUUUCCCACUCACCACUUUUCCUUGCCUUCUUCAUAUAAAUAUACAGGGCAAUAAGCAUAACAAGCACGAUGAACACUGACAUGAUAAUAAUCGGUAAAAGAAUGUGACUGGAGGUAUCUGAUUGACUUUCUGCUUCCCUACGAACAUCGUCUAUAACUUCAGACAACACUGAGUAGUCAAGUGGUGUAGCCGCACCGUUUGGAUUGAAACUCCAGCCGAUAAUUUGGUGUAUGGACCAUAGGCGGGUUGCAGAAGCAAAGCCAACAUAGACUGACCUUGGCAACACGGAUAUGAGAUUAACAAUGCUUGAUAGCAGUGGGCGUUCAGGCUUCGGCUCUAAGUGAGGUGCUAGACUGACAUUCAUGUGGCGUGAAUUGGCAUCAUAGUCAACCCAUACUUGCAUCGGUUCACCGCUAAUGAGUCUCAAGUUAGUGAACUUGCCAUCUGAGGUGUAGUAACCAGCAGUAUGUGAAUUGAUAGAUACCAAGUUGUUUACAUCGAUUCCAACAUGGUUACUAUCAAUAUCCAUGAAUUCCCUAUUAAACAAGGUAUCAAACUCAAUAGCAAAGAGUUGGUUUGUUGUAUUACCGAGGUUUUCGUUGCUGAACAUGCCCAAGUACUGAGAUGGGAGGGUAUCCAACAAAGUGUCCGUCGUGGCAGAAAGUGUAAACCCAAGCCCAUAGCCGCUAGAAUCGCUGUACGGACCACUAGUGAUGACAAACACGAAGGUUGUCGAGAAUGAGGAAAUAGAGUUCAACGGGCCUCCACAGAAAGCGCGCCCAACCCCCUUGUAAGUGCCAUCGGUUAGCUUGAGAGCUUUGCUUGUGAUUGAAGCUACACCAUCAAGCUGGAGCAUGCUAGAAGAGAAACCGUUGUAGGUGAAGCCAUCGUUGGUGUAGGAAGCAGAGGUGGCGGGGAGGAGGAAGAAGACACAUAGUAGUAGGGAGCGUGGCAGCAUGGUGCAAUGCUGCAAUUAACAAGGCACCUUUCUCUCAGGGAUGGGUUAUGAAAAAUAAAUAUGAAAUAUAGUACUGAAGCAUGCGCCAAACAAAAGGAAGUCCGGGCAUCGUCCAUUCAAAGUUUGAUAUUUGGUCAAUAUUCUCUGUCAUACCGAGAAAAAGAAGGCCAAUUGAUAGGUACAGCACAGCACUAAAGCACAACUAACGUAUCAAGAAUGACACUGCAUAUGGUUGACCGACUUCUCUUUUCCUAAGCACAACUAACGAAGCGCGCAUAUCCAGCUAGUGGGGACUUAUCCCCCCAUGGGGUUACAAGCUAUGGUGUUGGAUUUGCAUCAUGUGCUAGGCAUUCUUCCACAUCCUGGAGAUUGUGAUGGUUCAAUGAUGAAAGAGACCUUGGAAAGUGUCAAAAAGCUUGAAGAUCAAAUUAAGCAGUUGUUGUUUGCUCGCGCGCUGGUGAGGAGGCAAACCCUGACGACGUGGUGGUGCUCACUUACUCGUUCGGCACCAUGUGGCUCCCGAAGGUCGUCUUGAUCAUGCAUCGGAGCCUCGUCACAAGCAUCACACAACCGGUGAUAUCUUGUUGCGAUGCUUCAAUUCCACUCCAAUAGCACAUGUGAUCUUACUCUGAUUUGCUUGAUCAUCACCAUUUGUCAUCAAUCAAGUAGAGUUUUACAAUGUUCACUGGCUUUGUUACUUGUAGUUACCAAACUGAUAUUGAUGUAGUUACCUAGCUAUCGGGUUACAAUUAUCACAGUUCUAGCUGUGUAGUUAACCAUCAGCUGAGGGUAUAAUUACCAAUGUAACAUUGUUGGAGUUACUCUGUUGUUUGGGUUAAAGUUACCAUCAAAUCACCAGCAGAGUUACCAUGUUGUUUGUGUAAAGUUACCCUCAUAUCACUGGCAUAGCUAGCAAACUUUCAUGUUACAAUUACCAACAGGAUCUCGAUAUAGUUACCUGGUGUCCAUCUUACAAUUAUCACCAUGUCAUUGUGGUAGUUACCAAGCUGUCGUGGUUAUUGUUCCUGACAUAGUAUUCACCAAACAUACAGGGUUUAUCUACUGUGGAAGCUAUUACUUGUGAAUAGUCUAGUCUGGUAACUCACAUCUUUAUCGGCUGAUAACUUCUGAGCUUGUAAGAAGAGUUCUAGAAUAUGUCUAAGUGAGAAGACGUAGGUUUGUAAUUGGUAACUAUUUUUUGAAUAGUAAGGUAACUCAUGUACCACCGGUCUGGUAACUUUCAAGGCUAAGCAAAUAUCUUCAAAACAUAACCAAUUGAGGUCAAUUUUUUUAGGUCGAUAACUAUUUGUAAAUAGUUGGGUAACUCAUAUCGUUACUGCCUGAUGACUUCUAGAUUUGGAAAAAAAUGUCUCGCAAACUUCCUUAGUGAAAUUAUAGUUUCCUGGUUGAUAAAUAUUUGCGAAUAGUCUGGUAACUUACAUGGUAUUGGUGAGGUAAUUUCUAAACUCAGAAAAAAGAAACCAAAACAUGUCUAGCUAGAUCUAGCGUCGAAACAAAUCAUAACUAACCUGAUAACUCACAUAGUAUAUACCGAUAACUCACCUGUUACUGGUUGAUAACUUCAGAGCUCUAAAAACGUUGAAACACCCCCAGUGAUUAUAGUUUUCAAGCCGAUAACUAAUAGUGAAUAGGUUCAGUAACUCACGUGCUUAUGGUUGGUAACUUUAAACUUGAAGAAAAGGUUGGUAAAACAUAUCCAACCGUGAUCUUGUUUUGAAGCUCAGGUAUACGGCUUUAGCUACACAACUUUUAAACCUUUCCAUUUAGCAUGUGUUUAUGCUGCAGGGCCCCUAUCUCACUUCAUUUGCAUGCAUGCACUCAACAGCUAGUUUCUUGUUGUGCACAUGGUCUUGCGGGAACGGCUCGGGCUUGCCCCGCGCGCGGCCGAAUGCUCGGGCUCACAGGGAAAAAACAGGGUGGGAUUGGGAUACGUAAGGCAGAUAUGUCAAAUGUCGUACAUCAGUUACAUAGUCCAGUCCAUUAACUUGUACUAAAUUCAAAACACUUACUAUAAAUCGGAGGGAGUAGUUACUAAGUAAGAUCUAGUGUUUUGAACCCAAUACUACACUUGAGAAUACUUGGUAACUGGUAUAUUUUCUCGUUGGUAACUUCCGAAUUUGAAGAAAUUCACCCAAACACAUACUGUAUCUACUUGUGAAUAAUCUGGUCUGGUAACUCAUAUAUUAUCGGUUGGUAACUUAUGUUCUCAAAUGAAUUCGCCAAAGCAUCUAGUUUUGAGCCGAUGAAUUAGUGUGAAUGGUUAGCUAACUCGAUCAAUUUAUGUAUGGGUAAAUAACUUCUGAACUUGAAGAAAGUGGCCUAGAACCAAACCCAAGUGAAUUCUCUAUUCAUUUAGGUUACAGUUACCAUAAUGAAACUCACAUACUUAUCCAACCGUUAAAGUUACAAUUACCAUAAAGGCACUCAUUUAGUUAUCCAACCGUUUAGGUUACAGUUACCAUCAUGACACUGACGUAGUUAUUCAGUCGUUUAGUUUGCAGUUAUCAUCAUGACCCAUGUAGUUAUCCAUUCGUUUAGGUUACAGUUACCAUCUUGACACUCAUGUAGUUAUCCAGUCGUUUAUGUUACAUUUAUCAUCAUGACACACAUUAGUUAUCUAGUCAUUUAGAUUAUUAAAGUUACCAUCGUGACACUCAUGUGGUUAUCCAGUCGUUUAGUUUAUAAUAUUCAUCGUGUCAAUAAUAUACUAUCCAACUAUCUAGGCUUCAAUUACCACCAUAUUAUUAACAUAGUUAUCCAGGUUUUGGGUGAAAGUUACCACCUACAUCAUAGCAGCGAUGUAGUUAACUAGGUUUCGUGUUACAAUUACUAAUGGAUUGUUACUAAUGUGAUAUUGAUCUUGUUUCUCAACAUAGCACUGUGUAGUUAACAAAUUAUCCAUGUUACUGUUCAGGACCAUGGCAUCAUUGUAGUUGUCAAGAUAUCCAAGUUAUCUUGGUGUUCGAUUGUUGAUCUAAUAUAGUUUUUGAAGUGGGUAACUACUUGUGCCAAGGUCUGGUAACUCACGUCUUAGUGCUUGGUAACUUUUGAGCUCGAAAAAAGUUGUCGAAACAUACCCAAGUGAGAUCUUGUUGUGAAGCCCUCGUUGUCACUAACUCAACGGUGAAAACGGAUCGUAAAUUCGUUGUGCCAUCUGAGAGCUAAAACAUUUUGAAUUUUUGGAUUUGGAAAGAAUCUUGGGUGACAUAAGCAUGCAUCAUCGUUGGACCGUGGCAGCCAGGAUAGCUUCGGCACGCUUGGACUUUCUUCGAAACCAAGAUGGGGUUCCCUCGCGCAGCGCAGCGCUGCUGCAUGCUCGCCUCGCGGAACAGAUCGGGAAAGAUACACUAGCUAGGUUUAGGGGCUCAUUGGAAAAACGGAACGGGGUCGCCUCGCGCGCUGCCGCGCACUCGGCUCGCGGGAUCGAUCGGGCGGGAAGCGUACCGCUGCCACGCUAACGGCUGCCGCAUAGCAAAGUCCAUAUUAUUAUAGGAAUUGAAUCCUUUGAUGAUAUCUGAGAUGUACCAUGCUAGGUACUGGUUCACUGUCUUAUCGGACCAUCGACCAGAUCUUAUGGAGAAGGUAUGUCUGAACACUUAUUAUCUGUCCAAUAUUUUACUGGGGGUCUAGGUCCUUCGAUUAGUAUGUCAGCCUAAAGCCACGUGUCAUGUGGGUCAGCACUGUAGCCACUGUGACAAGUCUCAGGACAGGCCAAAUGAACCUGCUAAGGCUUAGAUUAGUUUCAUAUUUAAAAUAUUACUAGCAAAAAAACCCGUGCAUGCUACAGAACAACGGAAAGUGUAUCAAGCACGAGCCGGUGGAGGCGAAGUCUGGACAUUGAUUUUUCGAUUGGAUUGAUUUCCAUACUGAGAUUGAUACCGAGAUUUUUUGUUUGGGUUCGGAUUGAUUUCCAUACUGAGAUGGAUACGAAGAAUUUUGGAUUUCAUGCUUAGGAGAUUGAUUUAUUUUAGGAUUGUUCGUAUUAUGUUGUGACAAAUUUGGACAGUACAAUAACUUUCGGUAAAUCUAAACCGUAGAAUUUCUGCUACUGAAAUCGUGAAUAAGGCAGGAGGAAAAAAAAUAAGGAGCAGUGGCAUAUUGAUUAUAAUUUUAACGAAGUUGACCGACCAACGGCGCCCACCAUCACCAUCAAUUUCAAUUUAAUAUAUUGUAAUAGAUUGUCUAACUAUACAACCAAGUCAUGUUAGUAUUUGCCUAUUUGGGUAAGAACAGUUCCUUAGCAGGAAGUCCAGCUACACAGAUUCCAUUAUGAACUGUACCAUUCUUCUUAAGCACUGUUAACAGUGUUGAAGUAUUAUGCAGCACUCAGGUCCUUCUUCAAGUUCGACAACAGGUACCGAACCUGCUUGACACGUGCGCGGUUGUGGGAGCCAAACAUGGGGUGCAGUGCCUCCCAGACUUCACGAGCUGAGGUGUGGUGUGUCAUCUGCCCAAGAAUGUCCUCGGACAUGGAGGCAAGCAGUGCGGUCAUCACCAUUUGAUCCUGCUGGUACCACUGGAAAAACUCCGGGUUGGAGAUCACUGCAUCGCCUCCCCGCGCCCGCGCCGCCAUGCCGCCUCCCCGUGCCCACGCCCGUGCCCCCUGCCCGCGCCCGUGCCCCCUGAUCUUGUUUUGAUACUUUAUGCAUAAAAAUAUAUAUGCUGCAUAUUCCAAAGGGCCUGCACACACAAAAGAAAGAGGCGCCCGGGGACGGAAAAGAAGCAGUAGCACCAUGGAGUGUACAUAUGAUGAAUAUGAUGGGAUCACCGAUCAGACUCCACCGGGACUGCACCUCAGAGCAAGCUACCUAGCUAGUACACACAGGCACGUCCGUCCCCAGCCAGCAGGAGAUCGAGGACCACCCAUGCAUGUCAAAAACAAGAAGAUGGACUGAAACGCCAGAGGUCUUGGCGUUGCGGUUGGGUUGCCAACGCCAGGGGUUGUGGCGUUUCCCCUGGCGAGCAAACCGGUUGCAGACUGCGCGUAGCGUUUCCUUUGUAAUCGAAACGCCAGCACGAGUGACGUUUCCAAAAAAGAUCAGAUUCGAAAAUAGUUUUGAACGAGGGUCAUUUUUGCCUCAACUUUCGAAAAAGGGUCAAAUUUGCUGAUUUGGCCUCUGUAUUUGCAGUUGAGGUGACACAUGUAGGGUCGUGGUGGGGCCCUUGCACCCCCCGAUGUCUCUCUGUCUCUCCCUCCAGGCGUCGUCCCCUCCUCUCGCCCCAUCUCUCUCACUUGUCUCCCCCUCCUGAUUUCCAAGUGAUGAGCGCCGCCGGUCGAGCUCGACUUCCUCGGCCUCCGCGCCGCCGCCAACGUCCCCGGCGAGCACCACGGCAAAAGUAGCGGCGCGAACGGGAACUCGUGCGUGUCGUGCAACACGUGCGUGAUGGCCGGGGACGCCGGGCUGCCCAUGGUGGGCCUUCCGUCCACGGCGGCACGGGAGGUCGCGCCGUCCAACGACGCCACCUCUGCUUGUUCGAAGCGGCCGGGCUUCGACCAGGGCGACGGCGCGAGAGAAGAGCAGCGGCGCCGACGACUUGAGGUCGUAGCAGGAGAUGAGCACGGACUUGAUGGCGUCUCGCAGGUUCGUAGCAGAGGCACAUUCUUCCUUCGCCGCCCGGAUUCUCCUCUGGUUCUCCUUGUGUCGCUCUAGACCUCGGCCCAGCGGCGCAGGAGCAAUUUUGGGGAGGAGUUCUUCAUGCGAGAGCGUAGACAUCGGGCCGGCGACGGCGGCGGCCCUGGAACGAGGAAUCAUACGGCUCGUUCUCCAUGAACAGGGCCUCGUCGCGCUCCUUAGCGGGGAUUCGGGGGCCUGGAGGUGUGGAUUCGGAACUGCAGGAGGGGAUUCGGGGCCGCCGGACUCCGGGAAGACCACUCCAGGUCCUGAUCUUCCGGAGUUUCGGGCAUGGAGGCCGCGGUGACACGAACUCAGGAUUCGGGACUGCUCCGGACGGGAUUUGGCGGCUGGAGGAACGGAUUCGGGGUGAGGAUGGCAGUGGAGCGGACACCAAGUUCGCCGUCGAGGAUGGCACCGGCGCGCGCAAGAGAGACGGAGAGGAUGACUGGCGGCGGUUCUUCAAGAGAGAAAAGGGAGGGGGCGACGGGAUGUGAACCCCACGUGCGCGCCCCCCUGUACGUUGUACCCGUAUCUGUCCAUAGAGCAAUAUUUGUUUUUUUGGCACAGAUCCCAAUGAGUUGGGGACGGCUAGGAUAACAUGUGCGACCCCCCCCCCCCCUUGGCACAAAAUCCGGGGUCCGUCCUACUCCUUCUAUCUUCCAGCACUAGCUAUGAUUACAUAUUAAUCCAAUAACCGUCAUCAGUUACUUUUACAUGAAGGCGGGACUGAUGAUGCGGAACGGUGGGGAGAUGUACUUUUUUUUUCAUUUACAUACGACCUUUUUAUCGGCCGGAUUCCACUACCAAAGCAACGGAACAAGAGUUCACAUAGCACGCCAACAAAAGUUCUCAGGCUGCAAAACGCAGUCCUGGAGGCAGAGGUCUCAAACUCAAACUGAAGAUAUAAAACACACAAAAGGCCCAAAUCUAAUUACAUACGAUACCAAGGAUCGCCACUGUUUUUUGUUGCCUACUUGAACCAGACAAAAAUGACACCUUGCAGCCACUCCAGCAUCUGCGUCUUCUCAGAAACCGCCCCUUCAUGUUCCAGAUCACAUGCCAGGCCCUCCCAUGUCCUGUUCAGGCCCCAGGAUCUGCGCCGUGUCCACCUUGGCCUGCCGUGGAUGAAGUUGUAGCGCCUCUGCCUGUAACGCCGCCGCCCCUGCUCGAAGCCGGUCCCUAUCGCCAUUGGAUUGCAAACCUGUCCAAUAUUUCAUGAAAGCACAUGGCAGGCAUAUUAUUUCUACAAGUGAACGUAUCAACUUAUUUUCAACCAUGCCCUAUUUCGCAACUUCCAGAUUGCCCAGCAAAUGGCAGCUAGGCCCACGACUUGCAAGUUUUUCCCUACGCAUAUAAAUGUUGACAUCCACCAAAUUUUUUUUGUAAAUGUUGACAUCCACCAAAAGUACUGGGAAAAACAAGAGGGUCUAGCAUUAACACCUAACAUCAUACUCACAACACUAUAGGCGUAUGUCGCUGCUCCACAAUGAAAGAACAAGUGGUGUAUGGUCUCUUCCCCUUUGCAAAAUCUACAGGUGGUACCCCCCUUCCCAAUUCCUCCUUUUCAUAUCAUCUUUGGUAGCUAUGGCAUUGUACCAGAUUAGCCAUGACCAGAUUUUUAUCUUAAAUGGAAUCCUAGCUUUCCAGAGAUGUUUAAAUGAUCUGCUUGCCCACCCCCCCCCCCCCCCACCCCCACAUGUGAGUACAUCAUACAUGGAUUUAACUGAGAAUUUCCUGUUUUUGGUCAAGUUCCAAACUAGUGUAUCUUUCUGAUCAGUAAGAGCCCAUCAACUUAUCCCUAACUUUCCUGUAUUCUUCUUCAAAGUCUCAUCAAGCCAUCUCCUGAAAGUCAUAACCCAUCUCCUGGCGGCCAUGUCAUGAACGGAUAGCCCCACCUCAUUAGAUAUGGAAAACAGCCUAGGGAAUUGUUGUGCAAAGGACAACUGUCCACACCAGGCAUCACCCCAGAAACCAGUUGAUUUUCCAUCACCAAUCACCACAUUUCUUCCUUUUAGAUAUAAAUCUCUAACUUUCGGUAAAUCUGCCCAGCAUGGAGAAUCAUGUGGUCUGCUUUGGAUAUUAAAAAUGCCCCUCUCCUGCAAAUAUUUCCUUUGAAUCAGCUCCUUCCGCAGCCCUGGUUCAGCUUUCAAUUUCUACCACCAUUUGCACGUAAGGCUAAUAUUAAAUAGCUCCAGAUUUUUUACUCCCAAACCCACCUUUGAUAUUUGGUUUGCAUAUGAUUUUCCAGGAGAUUAGAUGAUAUUUCCUCUUCCUAGAUCCCCCCUUCCAUAAAAAUCUUCUUCUAAUCUUGUCCAAUUUGACAAGGUUUGACUUGGGUAAAAUAUUCAUGGACAUAUGGUAAACUGGAGUAGCAGUCAAACAUCAAUUAAGCAAGGUGACUCUGCCACCAAUGUACAAAGCCCCCCCCCCCCCCCCCCUUCCACCCUGCAAACUUUUUUUCCAUUUUUUUUCCUCCAGCAAAGCCCAAUAUGCAACUUUGAUUUUAUCAACACUCACAGGCAUUCCUAACUACUUAAUGGGCCAAUUCCCCUCAUGACAGUUGAACAUCUCUGCGUAGCAUUGCCUCUUCUGGUUGUCUGGUAAAAUCAUGAUUACUUCACGUUUUUGAAAAUUGAUCUUGAGCCCUCACAUGGCCUCAAACAAGUAUAGAAUGAGUUUCAAGGAUCUGGCCUCCUCAAGAUCAUCUAUGACAAACAAUAUGUUAUCAUUAGCAUAUUGAAAACGGCAACUCCUGAAUCAACUAGGUGGGGCACUAGUCCAGUCAGUCUACCAACAUGUUGAGUAGCAUGUAUCAUUUUGGCCAAGCAUUCAGCUGCAAGAUUGAACAAAAAAGGGGAUAGAGGAUCCCCCGUCUUACCCCCUUAUGGCUCCCAAAGUAUGGCCCCAACACAUCAUUUACUUCUACACUCAAUGUCCCAUUAGUAACAAUAGAUCUAAUACAUCCCAUCCAUCUUCACUAAAACCUUUCAUCUGACCAUAGUGGAAAAGAAAGUCCCAGUUCACCUUAUCAUAGGCCUUUUCAAAAUCAAUCUUCAGCACCACACCCUGCUGUUUGCAACACUUGGAUUCUCUGAGGAUUUCAUUCAAAGCAAGCACCCCAUUGUUCCUACCCUUUAUAAAAGCAGACUGGCAUGGCUCAAUUAGCUUAGGCAUCAGAGGGCCCAGCCUUAGAGUCAUGCCCUUGGAAAACAUCUUGAACAGUACCUGAAGCAAACAUCAGCAUCAGCUCCUUUUGGUAUCAAGGUGAUUAUCCCAUAGUUGAUUCUGCUUAAGUCCACUUUCCCAGCAUGGAAAUCAGCAAAAGUUGUAUAACGUCAUCUUUAACAAUUUCCCAGCAAGAUUGAUAAAAUUCUUUAGCAAACCCAUCAUGACCAACUGCUUUAUUUCUUUCCAUGGAAUCAAUUAUACCCUUUAUUUCAUCUUCUCCAAAUGGCAUAUCCAGCACAGUCUGUUCUUCCACAGUUAACCUUUCCCCAUCCCCCCACAUCUCCCCUCUGAGAUGACACUGAAAUCCAUCAGCACGACCAAAUAAGGAUUUAUAAAAAUCAGUAGCAUGAUUCACCAAAUUAGUAGUGCCCUGUUUCACUUCCUCCCCUUGAUGCAAAGAUAAAAUGACAUUCUUUCUCCUCCUGCUAUUUGCAAUUCUAUGGAAAUAAAUAGUAUUAUUGUCCCCUUUGUGUAACCAAUUCUCUCCAGAUUUUCUCCGCCGGAACUCUUCCUCAUCAUCAUAAAGUUCAAAUAGUGCAGAGUUAAUGUCACCCCUCAUAGCUAACGGAUCCACCUGCAGAGGUUGAAUUUCCUCUAGCUCUUCAAUAUCUUGCAGCUCCUCUGACAAGUCCUUUUUUAGUUUGUUAGCUUGCCCUCUAAUAUUAUGGCCCCAUCCUUUUAGAGAUUUCUUUUGUUUUUUUAGUUUCCCCUGAAUCGCCCCCAAACUAUCUGCAGCCUGAACAGGUUACAUCCAAACCUUCCUAACUCUCUCAAGGAAAUCAGGGUGCCUGCACCAACUAAUAUCAAAUUUAAAGUCAUUGUUCCUCUGUUUCUCAUGUUGUUCCAUGGUAUCAAUAAUCAAAGGGUUAUGAUCAAAAAGCUGUCUCACUAAUUUCCUGAUAGUCAUCAAAGGAAAAAGAUCUCCCCAAUCACUAUUCACUAGUAUUCUAUCCAACUUUUCAAGGGUGGGACAUCAUGAUUGUUGGAACAAGUAUACUGCCCCCAAGACAUUACAAUUUCCCUCAACCCAUGAGUGUCAAUGAUGGCAUUCAGCAUAUCAGUCUUCUUACAACUCCUCCUCUUUUUAUUUUUAUCCUGGUGAAACCUUAAGAUAUUAAAAUCUCCUCCUACUAGUAAUGGUAAUUCUUGAUCACCACAAGCAGCACCAAGCUCAACCAGAAACUCAUCUUUCUUUCUUCCUGAGCAGCCCCAUAAACAAUCACAAUCCAGUAAGAUAGCUUUAUUUUCUUGUCCCGCACCUUUACCUUUAUACGGUAUCUACCCGUCGCAUAGGUCUUGAUGUCAAAUCUUUCCAUUCUAAAUCCCCCCAAAAGACCACCUGAUUUCCCACAAGAUGGUAUAAAUUUUCAGGUGAAUUGAUUCAAAGGAUCAAUUCUCCUAAAGAAAGCAUCAGAGAAAUCUUUCCUCAUAGUUUCCUGAAUGCCCAAGAAAUCAACCUGAAAUUCCCUAGUCACACCUUGUAAAUAUGCCUUAAAACCUUUCGUCCCCACCCCCUGCUAUUCCAUAUGAGACCAAUACUAUCCAAAUCCUACAGCCGAUGAGUUUUUCGCUUCCUCAGCGUUCCACGUAGGCGGUUGUGAUUUCCUUCUGUUUCGGCCGAUUUGUUGGCCGGUUCUGUUGGCGAGCGUGAGAAACCAAUUGCGCGGAUGUUCAUUUAUCACUGGUGGUGUGGGCCGCUGUGCUCAGUUGGGCCGCUGUCAGGGUAGGGGUGGGCGUUUGGGCUGCGCGGGGAUGGCUGACGAUGGGCUAGGCGGGUGGCGAUCGACGCGUGUUCAUGCGUUGUCUUUCGGAGCCUUUGAGAGUGUACUGCGCUGGCAGUUUGGAGGUCGGUAACUCCCGUUCUCGUGCCUUCUUCUGUCCUCUAUUUAUGGUUCGAAGUCUGCAUUCUUUUGUGGUAAUUUGGUCUGCCAUUUCUGCUCCCGACAGUGUUUGUCUUUCCUGUGAUGUUCAUUGGUGGCGUUGCACUGAAGAUCUUUGUUUCUGUGCUUCCCCAGGUUUCGUAGAGGUGGUGGUGCUUCAGGAUGUUGAGUAGCCGUUCUUUGCCUUCCCCGUUAAUUCCACGUUCACCAAUUUUCCCCGUACCCAUCGGCUCAAGAUCCGGUUAGCGGCCUCACAACGCUGGCGGGCCAGCCAUUGCCGUUGUACUCCUCCAUCGCCAUUGGCGGUGGCAUGCCCAUCAUCAGCAGCUGACUGAAGAACGGCAGACCACCAUGGCCACCGCCAGGCCCGACAGAUAAGCACCAACGAACAUAUCGCAAGUGGACGGGGGAGGGGCAACCAGCUGCUCAAUGUCAAUUCCACCACGACACGCCUGGUGCCAUCGUCGUUCACCCUGUCAUGCCCCAUUCUCUCCCACUUCGGCGUGCCUGGUACGGCGACGAGAAUCCUGCAACAACAAACCUGGGUGCGCCGCCAUAACCUCGCCUCCCGCAUCGUCUUCCACCUCUCCCCCGACCAAGAAAAUCCCCAGCAUCAGCGGGUCCUCCACGCGCGGUUCGUCUGGGGGGCAAGGAGAAGGGCUGGUGGCCUUCGGCGGCUGGGUGCGUGGGUCGCUGGUGGAUUAGACCAUGAGUCGCUGGUUUCUGUUCUUCUGUUUCAUCCAUUCUAGGUUAUCUUGGCUCUUGAUUCGGUUUGAUUUACAGGGGUUAGUUGUUGGCUUCUUUUAUGGUUGUCCUGUGGCCACAUGACCCAGUAGAAUACAUCUGGUUGCAUCCAGAUGUAGAAUUCAUAUGUGAUCAAUAUGCUAUGACGCAGUCAUAUAUAUAUUGGAUUUGGUUUCCUCACCCUGACAGCAGGCAGAUUCUCACACAAAGGGUGAGAUGAGGUGGCAGCCCCUACAAAGGAGGAAGCUGCACCCCUCCUGCUACCAGCGUUUUUCACCUUGCAAAUGGCCUUGGCUUUCGUCUUGAUUUUCUUAGAUAUGAUUGGUGUGGAACCAUCCUCAUCUAUAUACUUGCACAUGCCUUUUCUGCUCAUUUGGCAAGGUACAUAAUUGCAAGGCAUGGCAUUAGUGUUUGGCUCUCUGCCACAACUAUGGCUUGCCACACUUCCUUGUACACAUGGCCCAUGUAUCAGACUCAUUUAUUAGCUAAACAUACCACUUGUGGCUCCAUUUUUUUGGCCACAAGUUUGCCUAAAUCCAAACACAUCCAUGAAUGGUCUGUUUACUUAUAACUUGAUGGUGAAUUUGUAUGUGAUGUACAAAAAAAGAAGAAGAAGGGAAAAACAAAAAAUAAUCUUUCCUAAAAGAGAGAAUAAGAAAAUUGCCCCCCGAUUUGACUGGAGGAUCGGUUCGUUCCCUACUAGCGCAGCAAACUUGAGCAUUUGCAAGAAGUCAAAAAUAGGUGCGGAGCACAAUAUUUAUGUCGGACGAGAUCUGGCUAAAUUGGCGACGUGGGACUAAUAUCUCACCCUGCCUCGCCAAUACCUGCGAAAAACGAAUGGGCCGGCCCAGUAACCAGCCGGCGUGCUCAAUUCUCUCUUUGCCGAAAACUCGUUACUCCCGAUCCAAACCGUCGCCAUCUCGGUUCUCUUCCUUUCUCAUUUUCUCUCCACCACGACUUGCCGGCGCCGCCCCCUGCUCUGGUGCCCUCUGCCUUCCAUCUCCCGAUGUGGCGUUCUUACUGCGGAAGGCGCGGUGCCGGAUGCGGCUGUCGGCGUGGGUGGCGCUGUGGGACGCCGUCGUGCUCAUGGACGCCAUCCCCGUGCAGGCCGCGCUCUACCCGCCAGCUCGCGCUGGCCCGCCGCCUCGGCCGCUUCCCGGCCUCCAGCCCUCCACCGCCUCCCUAGAAGUCCAGGGUAUAAUUUGCAAACCAUGGUAUUGCAAAGCCAUCGCAGUCCAGUGUAUUAUUUGCAAUUACGGAAUUAACCGAAGGGGAUGAGCGCGGUGGCGGUGGAGAAGAUCGACUACGAGGGCAUCGCAGGCACGUCGGCGACGAAGCGGGCGGUGACGUUCGCGUGCAGCUUCGCCGUGCCGUGCAGGCGCGUGGCGCUGCGGAACGUCAACCUGACGUUGGUCGGGCACGGGCACAGGGCGCCGUCGGCAUAGUGCCGCGCCGCGUCCGGCAAGAGCACCGGCGUCGUCGUCCCCGAGUCCUGCCUCGCCACGCUGCCCAGGCUGCUGGGCUUCAAAUCUGCUGAUGAUGAUGAGAGUGAGUGAGGCUUGAGGUUCUUGGAUCCACGGUCCACGGUGUUGUAUUAGCUGUGCUUGUGAUGGUACUUGUAGAGUGGCCGGCCGGUCGUCCUUGGAUCGAUCCGGCCGUGUGUUGUACUGCUGCCCUGUUUACAAGUGUUGUACUGUAGUGUGAAAUUGUGUGUACUGCCCUCUAUUUUCAAGUGUUAUAAGUUUGUAUUUUUCUUAUGUACUGUUCUGCUCCUGUAAACUUGUGGUAUGAUUUGCUGUUUGACACUGGGUGCAAUAGUGCGAAGAUAGCCGUGUCAGAUCGAGAUUCGGCCCGUGAUUUGUACUAGCGUGGAUCAUGAUGCUGUUCAAUUCGAAUUUCCCUAAAGAACAUGGAAGCACAGAUGCAGAUCUGCCCUUUCCUCUCUUAGUAGUUAGUACAAAAUUCAGCUAAAAAAAAUGUAACAACGCGAUGCGUGUGAAGUCAAACGGAUCGCUGGAGGAGUUGUCGUACUUCCCGUCUGCAGUUGCAAUGACAGCUGACCCUGAGCUGAGCUAGGCUCCGAUCCAUCCCGGGCUGGCCGAACAGACAGUGGGCGCGUCCAUGGCGCUUCGUGCAAGGACGACGCCGCUUCUGCCCGCGGCUCUCGCCGUGGCGUUCCUCCUGUCAAGCGCCGCCGAGGCACGCGUCCUCCUCACGCUCGACGACUUCGGCGCCGUCGGGGACGGCAUUGCCAACGACACCCAGGUAACUAACGCCCUCAAGCUGCUUUAAUUUUAAUCUUAGCUGUAGAGAAUUCGAGGUGUACCUAACACACUACGAGAGGGCCUAUUCACCUAUACCAACUACUUUGGUGUAGUUGAUUAGUCUCUUUUUAUUUCUACUUACUUAAUGCAAGCUUUCGGGCGGCAGAGCCACUCACGUUAAAGCAAGUCUUGAAUCCGGGCGGCUAUGCCACUCACGUUGAAACAAGACCGUUGUGAUUCCGGGCGAAUCCGCUCACGUUAAAUCACAACUUAUAUGCACUAAGUACUUAGAAAUAACAAGGCCUAACCGGGAGACUUAUAUGAACAAAGUAGUACUAUAUUGCUUUAGGAAUAUUAGUACAAGAGAGAGCAUACACACCUUACACUUGCUCAUACCUUGUUUUCCACCUUCUUCACUUUCUUAUUAUCUACUACACAAGGUGUGAGGUAAGGGCCUCUAUUUAUAGGACUACAUGGCCAUUGGAUCUUUGACAUGUGUCAAAAUCUUAGCCAUUGAUACAAAAUAUCUAAAGCCUUCCACACACUUCUACAUAAAUAUCUAGGUACUAGAAGGUUUCCUAUUUAUUUAUUUUAAACUCCUAUUCUAAAGUAUUCCAAAGCUUCUACAUAAUUCUUCGUGCAUAUCUAAACACUAGAAGGUUCCCUCUUUUAUUUAUUUUAUAUUUUAGAAUAUUACACAGUAAUGUCUUCUUUCUUCUAAUAUUGAGAUCGUUCUAGCUUGCAUCGUAUUCUCCGACGUUAGCCUCUCCAUCGAUGGAGGCGGCAUUAAGUCCGAGCUCUAGUUUCUGGUUUCUGAUUUCUUCUCCUGGCGUUCGUCGAGGCCUGGAGCGCGGCAUGCGCCAUGGGCGACAACACGUACCUCAACGUCCCCGCCGGCAAGUCCUACCAGAUCUGGCCCGUCACGCUCGCCGGCCCCUGCCGCGGCGAAAUCAAGCUCCUGGUACUAGUGCACUUCAAUUUCCAGCCUCUGUGGUCUGUUUCCUCACAGACUCAACAGUAAACCAGGCGGCUCCCAAGGCGGUCCACUUCGAGGGCUGCGAGGACGUGAGCGUCAUGGGGAUCACGGUGCAGAACAGCCCGCGGCAGCACCUGGCCUUCACCCGCUACUACAACGUCAAGGCCAACUACCUGCAGGUGACCGCGCCGGAGGGCAGCCCCGGCACCGUCGGCGUGCUGCUCGCCAGCUCCACCAACGUGCACGUCAUGGACGACCUCUUCUCCGUCGGUAUGCGUCUGCGCAUCUGUUGUCUGUAUCCGUUUAAUUUCUGAACUGAAUGUCUGAAUCUGCUGUCGUUUUCUUUCAGGUGGCGAUUGUGUGUCGAUUGUGGGGAAUUGCACGGAUGUGCGUCUCAGAUCCGUCUCGUGCGGACCAGGCGCCGGUAGAAUUUCCAGCCAAUUUUGCAACUUAAUCUCGAUUUGCCUAUGAAAAAUGCACCCUUUGAAAUGUUGGUCGGUAUCGGGGACUCGGGCGAGGACCAAAGUCAGCACAAGACCGAGAAGAUCAAGAUGGACACCCUCUUCAUCACCAACACACACGAGGUAACCACACAAUACAAUCCCCAAUUCCUCAUCUGAAUCAAGUAAACGACGGCCACCCAGGCCAGGAGAUGAUGACACUGAACUGAAGCUAACAUCAAAGCCGUGUACCAGUAACAUUUUGCUGCCGUUGUUGUUCAGGACGGCUGCGGCUUCUGGAGUUCUCACCGACACUGCCUUUGUCCAAACGGAAUUGCUAGUGCUCAGGCGACUGAGAAACAAUAUUUCUCAGUCGACCUGCUGAUGGUUGGAUUUCCAUGCUAAGAUCGUGCGUGCGUUUUCUGUUUCCUCGAUAAUUCCCUGUCCACGAAAGAGCUAAAAGGGCCAUAAUAGCUAGCAUUUUUCUUGGGCCAGGGGUGUGCGGGUCUGAGAUGGUCUGUGUUCUGAUUUUUGGUGGGCCAGUGGCUGUGUGUUGGGCUUGAUAAAUGCUAGUGGAAUUUUCUUUUCAGAAUUUGCAGGGUCAUGAGUGUAUUCUUUUGCCAUUCCUUUGUGUUCGUAAGCAACAGGUUAGAAUAAUAUAGUUAUUCUCAAAAAAAUGUUAGAAUAAUAUAGUCCCAAUUAAAAAAGGUUAGAAUAAUAUAGUGUCCUUUUUUUAAUCAAAGCUCUGUGUUUGUGUUUGGUAGUGGUUACAUCCAAUGAGUGUGCAAUUUCUUUAUCUAUAUUCCUUUAUAUUGGUUAAUAUAGUACUAGUUUUAUCUGGUUUUUAGCUACUAGCUAGUUUUAUAUGGGUUUUUUCUUCUUUUUUUCCUAAAUUACCAUACUAUUAUUAGUAUUAUUAUUAUUAUCGGAUUUGUUAGAUCUCAAUCGCUGAGAAAAACAAUUUCUCAAUCGACGAUAUUAGCAUCGACCGGACGAUCGACAUGCUGCGUGGACGUGUUGAUGGCAGGUCAUCCGCUUAAUUUUAUUCGACUGUAACUUUAAUUUUUUUGGUUGCGUGCCGGUUUCAAUUGUAGUUUUUCUAGUUGCACCCAUAAUGUUUCCUAUUUCAUGGGGCACUAAAUUUCAUGUGCAAUUUUUAAAAUCGCGCAUUAAGUUUCAAGUGCAAUUUGUAAUACGGCACAUUAAAUUUCACGUGCAAUUUUUAGAACGGCGCGUUCAAUUUCACGUGCAAUUUUUAACCGCGCAUUAAGUUUCAAGUGCAAUUUUUUAAUACGGCGCAUCAAAUUUCACGUCCAAUUUUUAAAACGGCACGUUAAAUUUCAUACGCAAUUUUUAACCACACAUUAAAUUUCACGUGCAAUUUUUGAAACCGUGUGUUAAACUUCACGUGCAAUUUUUAAAACUGUAUACACUCAUGAGGUCGUUGUGGUUUUUGUUCUCCCGUAUUGUUUAUCUGUGCGUUUGAUUGUAGGUUUUUUUUGCACUACUAUAGGCCCAAUAAAACAGCUACCGUACCUAACUUGGGUUGUGUUUUUAUUGCUUUUUUGUGGGCCAUUGGACUAGAUAUGGAGUUACUAUUGUACGUUAAACCUGGACAGCGUCAACAGAAGUGAAAUUAAUUACGGAGACCUCCUUGGAUCAUGGUGGACUCAGUCGCCUGAUCCCUAGUGACUCCCUUAUCCAAAAUGCCUCCCCCUGUUGGAGAGGCAUCGAGCAUGGCCUUGAUCUUCUGAAAAGAGGCGUUAUCUGGAGAAUUGGUAACGGCAGGAAUGUGCAAAUUUGGCCCCCGGGGCAACUUGAAAGCUUCUGCAAGCCUGAACCGCUCUCGCCUUAGACGGGUGUCUGACCUGAUCGAUCAGACUAAACACUCCUGGAGAGAGGAUCGAGUUCGGGAAGUCUGUAUCCCUCCUGACGAUUAAGAGGUGUCCUGAAAAUUCCUCUCUCCCGUGCAGCAGUUGAAGACGUACCGCAUCGCGUGGCACCACGGGGCGAACGGAAUUUUAUCUGUCUGCAGUGCCUACCGUCUGGGCAGGCAAAGCCAUUGCCUCGCUCUCUCCGAUCGAUGGCCAGUCCAGCACGUACUGCCCCUGAUGGAAUACGUCAGCUUUGGGAUUUGAUUUGGAAAGCGGAUGUACAGCCCAAGGUGCGCGUUGUCGCCUGGAAACUUGCUACCAACUCCCUGGCACUUGCAGUCCAACAUAACAGAGCGAGAAGGCUACCAAAAGAGAUCCCUACCUGCCAAAUCUGCCUGCCCUCCGUUUCACUAUGAGAUCGCACUGGGAGCUGCCUGACGAGAAAACCCUUAGUUUCAAAGGAAACGACUGGUGCCUACUCACUCUUGCCAGGCUGAACCGAAACGAGCGGACUAAGAUGCUCCUCAUCUGGUGGAGGGCUUGGCACCACAGGAACAACAUCAUCUUCAACAACGGAGACUGCCCAAUUAGUGCAUCUAUAAACCUGCUCAUGGGCUCCUAUUCUGGGCAGGAAAAGACUCCGGGGAAUUUGAAUUUCCCUCUGACCAAAAGGAAUUAAGGAAAAGGGUGAUCAUCCCGCCGUUGUCUCCUACGGAGAAAUGCUACCCGCCCUGGCCCCACGGCCGUCUGGCAAAGACCCAAGCAUGGUUGGCAAAAGCUGAACGUCGACGCGAGCUUCUCCAACAGUUCUGGCUUUGGUUCCUGGGGCGCCGUCCUGUGCAAUCACGACGGGAGCGUCGUGGGCUCUGCGUGGGCGGGCGGCAUCAAUGCCUCGGACGACACCACCAUGGAGACUAUUGCUGCGCUUGAGGGGCUGCGGAGCCUUCACCACCUGAUCUCCAGACUAAUCUGCAUCGAGAGCGACAGCCUCCGGCUCGUCAAAGAAUUCGAUCCGAGUGGAGGAUACAUUCCCCAGCAUUGUACGAUCCAAGAUGUAACUUUGUUAUGUAAAUGAUGAAUAAACAGGUACUUCGAUGUAAAAAAAAAGGUGUGUUUUCUAUGCCAAAACUAGCCAUGCCCGAAAUAUUUAGUGUUUGUUUGCUUUGUUGCCAAAAAAUUGAUUUCCAAUAAGUAUCCAUCCACCUCUCUCACAUAUUCUUGUCAAAUCUUUGGUCUAGUGUGGGCUCAAAAACCAUUAGCCAAAAAAUUGACAUGUAUCAGCAUCAUCCAAACAUACGGUUAAUUACCGAAUUUAUUUUGACCGGUUGGGCUUUUGGUGCAAUAGUGCAAGGGGUUUGGACCUUCAUUUUGCCUUGAACUCUUAGUGCAAUAGUUCUGGAGUUUCAAUUUGGCUUGGACUCUUGGUGGCGGUAAAUACACUCCGAUCAAUUAUUUAAGAGGUGGAAGCAAAUUAGUCCAAUUCUUGUAAAAUGGGGUGGACUCAUCAUAAUAUUUGAUUUGCGGGUUCAUUAGAGGUCCAGACCAACAAGAAGAUGACACGUGGACUGUUUAGUCGGGUGUUGCAUUUUGCUGAAAGCCCCGUGGACCUUUUAAUUUUUUUUGUCAGGAAUUCUCUCUAAAGCAAACAUUUCGUCAUCUUUCGUUUGCAUUCCUCUUCCCCUGCGUCCACCCGAACCCUAGUUUUGCUAGCCACUGUCGACGGCUGCCGCAUUAGCGCAAACGGGGGUUAUCUUGCAUCUGGAGUGGCCAAAAGUAUUUGAUAAUUUUGGCUGUUUGUUGCCAAAGGUGUUGCAGGAAAUCGAUCACCGGUUGCUAACAAUGACUUAUUUUUGGUCAUGUUAAAUCAGAAAUGUGAGGAUAGGGAGAAAGGGGGCAGCCUUAUUGCGUGAGAUGGGUCCAGGUUGAGUAGUAAUACUCUGUAUUUAGGGCGGGUUUCUUAAAUAGACUUUGACAAUAUUGAUGUAUUGUUUCCAUAUAUAUAUGAUAUGAGAAUGUCCUUGAUAAGUCAUUUCCUUGAAACUCUUGCCGGUUCCCUUUUGAACAACCCUUCUUGUACUAAUUAGGAUUGUUGAUGUAUUGAUGUAUUGUUUCCAUAUAUAUACCUUGAUGUGAGGAUUGAAGGACUAGCCAUGUUUAAUUUUAUUGUUUCCUGAAAAAUGUUUAAUUUGUUGUGGGUUUCAUUUCUUAUCCAUGGCAUGACCAACUUCCUGUCCAAGUGCAAGGCAUGAGAAAUACCAAAUACAAGGAGUGUCGGUAGAUGAACCUGUAUUUCACAACCAAAAAGCAAGUUAAUACUUGCAUUUGGCUGUGCUUAUCAUAUAGGUUUAUUUAAUAUCUUUCUUGAAUCGUAAUCAGCAUGGACUUAUUGUUGAGUGCCCAAUUGGGAUAUCUGAAUCAUUGCCCCUUUGCUUGAAAUUGUGGCUCAUUAUCACUGGGAAGUUAUCAAGACAAGUAAGAGCAUUCUGUAGGUUCCCUACAAGUAGUGUCAAAAACAUACAGUCCAACCUUGCUCCAUUCUUGAACAAUAAAUUCGGGCAAAUGACUGGAAUCUUUUCAACACUUCAUAAAAUGGUCAGCAUUGUUAUCUAACAUCUGGAGGUAUUUUCCAUUAGAGGUAAGAUUUGGCCAAUCCGCUCUGGAGGAGUUCAAACAAAGGUCAUCACUGUUUCUCCCCCGUGAAGCUCCAUCAUUACCUCGCUCAAGGUGUUAGGCAGGUGUCCUAAGAAUUAUGAAAGUUAAUUCUCAGACUGUUAAGAGUUUUGAAUUCUUCAAGUUGAAGUUCACGCAUUUUAUUUUUAACUUCUUCCAGGUAUAUUGUUUUGGACUUAUUCGGAGCGGUGUACUCUUCUAUAUUUUCAGGAUCCGAAACAUGUAACAUUCAGAUCUACAGAAUAUCUAGAUAAUGUAAUCUUGGUGAGCUUGGAUAGUUCAGUAAGAGUACAUGUGCCACCAAAUUGAUUGAUUUUCCCGUAAAUAGUGGUAAUUGAUGAUCAUCUUUUUAUCUAAUCCAAGAAAGUGAAAUAUUUGUGACUAACAAAGAGUCUUAUGAAAUAUGAAGUGUUAGAAAAAAUAUGCAUUUUAAAUUUUAAGUUAUGACACACAAAGAGACAGGUUUGCUAAUGAAUGAAAAAGUAAGAAAAAAAAUGAAUGGUGUGUUGAAAAACACGCUUCCGUAUUUUCGUAUAAUGGUCAGUUUUUUUCGAGCAGCGCGGUGAAGCGCGCAUAUUCAGCUAGUGGGGACUUAUCCCCCCAUGGGGUUACAAGCUAUGGUGUUGGAUUUGCAUCAUGUGCUAGGCAUUCUUCCACAUCCUGGAGAUUGUGAUGGUUCAAUGAUGAAAGAGACCUUGGAAAGUGUCAAAAAGCUUGAAGAUCAAAUUAAGCAGUUGUUGUUUGCUCGCGCGCUGGUGAGGAGGUAGACCCUGACGACGUGGUGGUGCUCACUUACUCGUUCGGCACCAUGUGGCUCCCGAAGGUCGUCUUGAUCAUGCAUCGGAGCCUCGUCACAAGCAUCACACAACCGGUGAUAUCUUGUUGCGAUGCUUCAAUUCCACUCCAAUAGCACAUUUGAUCUUACUCUGAUUUGCUUGAUCAUCACCAUUUGUCAUCAAUCAAGUAGAGUUUUACAAUGUUCACUGGCUUUAUUACUUCUUGUAGUUACCAAACUGAUAUUGAUGUAGUUACCUAGCUAUCAGGUUACAAUUAUCACAGUUCUAGCUGUGUAGUUAACCAUCAGCUGAGGGUAUAAUUACCAAUGUAACAUUGUUGGAGUUACUCUGUUGUUUGGGUUAAAGUUACCAUCAAAUCACUAGCAGAGUUGCCAUGUUGUUUGUGUAAAGUUACCCUCAUAUAGUGGCAUAGCUAGCAACCUUUCAUGUUACAAUUACCAACACGAUCUCGAUAUAGUUACCUGGUGUCCAUGUUACAAUUAUCACUAUGUCAUUGUGGUAGUUACCAAGCUGUCGUGGUUAUUGUUCCCGACAUAGUAUUCGCCAAACAUACACAGGGUUUAUCUACUGUGGAAGCUAUUACUUGUGAAUAGUCUAGUCUGGUAACUCACAUCUUUAUCGGCUGAUAACUUCUGAGCUUGUAAGAAGAGUUCUAGAAUAUGUCUAAGUGAGAAGACGUAGGUUUGUAAUUGGUAACUAUUUUUUGAAUAGUAAGGUAACUGGUACCACCGGUCUGGUAACUUUCAAGGCUAAGCAAAUAUCUUCAAAACAUAACCAAUUGAGGUCAAUUUUUUUAGGUCGAUAACUAUUUGUAAAUAGUUGGGUAACUCAUAUCGUUACUGCCUGAUAACUUCUAGAUUUGGAAAAAAUGUCUCGCAAACUUCCUUAGUUUAUAGUUUCCUGGUUGAUAAAUAUUUGCGAAUAGUUUGGUAACUUACAUGGUAUUGGUGAGGUAAUUUCUAAACUCAGAAAAAAGUAACCAAAACAUGUCUAGCUAGAUCUAGCGUCGAAACAAAUCAUAAAUAACCUGAUAACUCACAUAGUAUAUACCGAUAACUCACCUGUUACUGGUUGAUAACUUCAGAGCUCUAAAAACAUUGAAACACCCCCAAUGAUUAUAGUUUUCAAGCUGAUAACUAAUAGUGAAUAGGUUCAGUAACUCAUGUGCUUAUGGUUGGUAACUUUAAACUUGAAGAAAGGGUUGGUAAAACAUAUCCAACCGUGAUCUUGUUUUGAAGCUCAGGUAUACGGCUUUAGCUACACAACUUUUAAACCUUUCCAUUUAGCAUGUGUUUAUGCUGCAGGGCCCCUAUCUCACUUCAUUUGCAUGCAUGCACUCAACAGCUAGUUUCUUGUUGUGCACAUGGUCUUGCGGGAACGGCUCGGGCUUGCCCCGCGCGCGGCCGAACGCUCGGGCUCACAGGGAAAAAACAGGGUGGGAUUGGGAUAUGUAAGGUAGAUAUGUCAAAUGUCGUACAUCAGUUACAUAGUCCAGUCCAUUAACUUGUACUAAAUUCAAAACACUUAUUAUAAAUCGGAGGGAGUAGUUACUAAUUAAGAUCUAGUGUUUUGAACCCAAUAACUACACUUGAAAAUACUUGGUAACUGGUAUAUUUUCUCGUUGGUAACUUCCGAGUUUGAAGAAAUUCACCCAAACACAAGCGAAUCCUGGGACAGAGCGGGUUGCAGUCAGGAGAAUUGGCGGCGGUGACGAAGCAACUGGAGUCGCCAGCGGCAGCAACAUCUGGAGCAGAGGGCGGCAGCGUUGGCGGAUGGGCAAAGGUUAGCGGCGAGGCUUACUUGGACCCAAGGUCACUUAUUUCCCGAUGAAAGAUUUUUUUUUAGUUUGAUGUUGAGCAUAGCAAUUUUGUUGUUGAUACUUUGCUGCCAAAAAACUUUGGCCAGAAGAAUAAGACGGUUUGGCAAGAAGAACAAGACGAUGGGAAGAAGCGGGAGGUUUUCAGCAACACAACUACGAGUAGCACAGCCCGAUCAAAAAAACCUAAGUGUAGCACAUACGUGGCAUAGCCCCCUGGCGCGCCCCGCCGCUGGCUGCGGGUUCACGGCUUAUUAGCAGGCGCCGCACGUUUUACGUUACGGUGGACACGUCGCUGGUAGUUCGGUCCGAGAAAAAUUCCUCGUUGCGUCAGUCUCUUCAAUCCUCGACGCUAGUGUCGCCUCACCCCGCGAGCCCCCCCGCCCCUCGCCGCCCCCGCCCGGCUCCGCCACGCCGCCGCCCUAGCUGCCGGCCCUGACCUCUUCUCCCCUCCGCCCUCCUCGCUGCCAGUCCUCCUCCACUUUGCCCCGUCGCCGCUGCCAGUCCUAGAUCCGCCGCUGCAAUUCACCGCCGGUCCCCUCGACGCGAUUCGCCCCAAUCCCGAAACCGUUCGAAGAUGCCGAAGGCCAGCAGGCGGCGCAUGAGGAGGGAUCCGGGGAAGGAGAGGGAAGCGAAGAAGAGAAGCCUGGCAGAGGAUCGGACGGUGAUGUUCGCGGCUUUUGAGAAUGAAAAAAUCCAAUCCGAAGCAAAAUUAGGUAUGUAGCCAACCUCCACAUAAUUUUCCUCCUCAUCACGGCAUGAGUAGUAUUGCUGCCAUACCCUUGUUGUUUACUUGGUUGAUAGAACUCAAAUCUCUAACUCUAUAUUAGUUCCCGGUCUUGCAUGGCUUGUAAUUUACUGCGACGAGUUAAAAUUCUUCUCUUUUUUGGAAAUAGAGAAAAAAUUCUGUAAUCAUUCAUCUGUCUGUGAGUUACAUUUUAGUGUUUUACUUUGUUCAGAUCUGCUAUGCCAUGAGCUAUCUUCCACUGUUUCAGUCUAUAUUAGUCAUUGCGUGAUGUCUCUUUAUUUUGAGUACUUCGUCAUGUCUCUCUCCCAGUCCUGACUCACUUGCUUCUACCCAAACCUUGAUGUAUGCUAGUCAUGCAUGAUGCUAGUUCUACUUUUUAUAGCAUCAGUAAUAGGUGUUUGAGUUGCAAUUUGGUCAGGGUUUGCAUUCAUAUUGCUAGGAAAUCAGUUUAGUUGCUUUUGCAUCAAACCCUUGUUCUUUUUUCGAUCUCUCUAGCUUAGGAAAUUAUUUGCACUAGUAUAGUUGAUCCCUGUGGAAUACGACAACCCUGCUUAUCAUUUUUCUUACAUCAAUUUUGGUGCUGUAGAUCGUGUGUACGACAAUGUGGUUGAGUCCUCAAUGGAGGAAUCCUCCAAUCCACCCAGCCCUCUGCUCCACAGGCCCUACAUCCCCGACGAGCUAGCUGACAGGGCGGACGUACGUGCCGCCUUCCAGAAUGCCAUGUUACAAUUCGAAGCAGACAUAAGUCGGGUCCCCUCCCUCUAGCUUGAUCCCGCUUUUCAUCGUUAUCAUCAUAGCUAAUUUUAUAUAUGCAGAUCGUCGGUCUGAUCUCUUCACCUUGGAUCGCUACUAUACUCGUUCCUGCCUGACCAAGGACCGACGCCUUCUUCACAUCCGCGAGUCUGCAAAGGAUGCCGUGCUUCUUGCCGCCAACUCCGUCAUCAGCCUCUCGUCCUAUCUCGGUAUGAACACAUGUAACUAAACAUAUAAUUAAUAUUUUCUAGCACAUCUGCCGAGCUAGUGUUGCGACUUUCGGUUUGCUUUCCUUGCAGACGAUGAGCCGCUGAAUAAGUGCUGUGGUUUGUGGAUUCAACGGGACGACAAGGAGAAAACCGCCAUUGUUUUGACGUCCGCGCAUCUCAUUCGUGCAAAUCGCACAACGGAUCCCAAGAAGCUGAACAAGUGGUUGUUCGAGUGGACAGGCAAAUAUCAUCGUGAUGCUAGCGUGAGCUUCUUAACAUUAAUUCACUAUUGUAUUAUCUAUCUUCUUCAUGCGCUAGUCUUUGUUUCUUUCUUUCUUUGUUUCAGGUGUGUUUGAGAGGGCUCCACUCCAGCUAAACUCCACUUCACCUCUAAACUCCACUUCAUUUUCACUCCACUUCACCAACUAAAUGUGUUUGGCGCUCAAGCUAGCUCCAGAUUCAUGAUGGCCUUAACCGUACGGGAACAGAUCUGUUCUUCCACACUCAAAUCAAUCAAGCUAAUCAACCAAGGACGUCUCAAUCAAUCAACUGUGAAACCUGCUACCUUCGUUGCUAUGUCGUCUCAGUGGAGAAAAGGGUGGCUGAGGCAGCAACGUCCUGCUGAACUGCUGAAGUGCAGAGAGCGGCAGCAUCAGCGAGUUCUACUGGAUGCGGUUGCGGCAGACCUGCGACGGGGCAUAGGCCUGUAAGCUCUCCUUGAGUUUUGCUGGAGGACCACGACGAUAUCUGCUUCAGUAGGGGCGGAGGUGGCGCCUUGGUCGUGCUGGUGCAGGGGACCCGGCUCCUUGGGGGUUGUGGAGGUGGGGGGCGGGCCUCGCCGGAGAUAGAGCGCCGGCUCACUGGAGGAUGAGCAUGCCUCGCCUACGGCCGGGUGCGCCGCUUCGGGGAGACAGGAGGAAGAGGAGUCACGUACGAGAGGAAGAGGAGGAGUCAGGGAGGUUCUGUUCACGUAGAUAACGGUUCGGGGUUAAUGAGUGGCAUUGGUGGGCAAAUUACCCCAGCUUUAGGUGAAGUGAAGCAGGAAAAACCUCUUUCUUGACUCCAGUGAAAUGAACUAGAGGGCUGUACUGCUCCACUUCACCUAACAUAUGGAGUUUGGGGUGUUUGGGACAACUUCACCCACUACACAGGUGAAGUUUUGAAGUGGAGUAGUCCCAAACAGGCUCUUCGUGUCAAAAUUUAAUUAUUUGUAAUGCCUCAGUUGGCAUCUGCUUAGCAAUUAAAAGUGUUAUCUCUUCAAUUUCCGUAGAAGACUUGAUUUGGUGCGGCGUUCGUUUUUUCUGAUAGUUAAUCUCUUAAAAAUGGUUUUGCCAAAUACUAUGAAUUUUUUCUCGGAAUCAUAGUGUCAUAAUUUUUGCGGUUGUCUUUCCAGGUCACUGUUCACUUUCUGGAUGGCACAACUGCAUUAGCCAAUCUCAUCUACCUCCAGGAGCACUACGAAUUUGCUCUUUACGAGGUUGUAGUGGACAAACCAGUUCAACUGUCCACUUUUAAUGACAAUGUGCAUUCUGGUCAAGAUGUUCUCCGACUUGGAAGAGAUGAAAGUCUUGAUCUAAGCAUAACCCAUGGUAGGGUGGAUUAUAGGUUUCCAUCCAGUUAUGAGAGAUGCCACUACAUGUAUUUUAUCCACGAUGGACCAGAUGUAUGUACUAUUGUACUAUUUAAUUCUAACUUUAUGUUUUGUUUUUCGAUCUUAAUAUCUUGUUAGUAUAAAUUAUAAUGUUUGUUAUUGUCACUAUGUUGUAGUUAGUUCAUGAUGACGGAGGCCCUGUCAUUGACAUAGAAGGGAAGGUUGUGGGAAUGGUUCACAAUCAAUCCGUAGAGUCGUUUUUACCUUCUUCUAUAUUGCACAAGUGCUUGGAUUUGUGGAGGAAGUUGAAGUACGAUCUUUAUUGUCAAUUCAUUUUUCUACUGCUUUUGAUUACACUAACGCAUUCUCUUAUAUAUGUUACCUCAUUCAUUGCAAUUGAACAACUACAAAAUUAUGUUUAGAUUGUGAUUGCUUAGCAAUUGUUACGUUUGAAUGAAUUGCUAAAUUGUGAUUUAGAAGAAUCAUUACGUGAGGCCUAGGUGCCAAAAUGUGUGUAAGAUUAUAUAGAGAAAAUGUGUGUUGGUCACCUUAUCGAACUCUGCAUGUUUUCCAAACUAUUCCUAUCCAGUGUAGGAACUAAAUUUGGUGUAAAUAUUCAGUUUUUCUACUUGGUGAUCUAUUUGCCUGGCUUAAUCCUCUUUUGAGCACGGCAUGAACUAAUGUCUUGUUAUGGUAUUAAUUCUAUAAUAAGGUUCUUGCCUAAGUUUUGUGUGAUACUUAUUUGAUAUUGAUUCUAAUAAAAUAUGUUGUUUUAUUUAACAUAAGUCUGUAAAACGAUUACAGUCUUAAUGAUUAUAUUUUGUGUAGGUGCGUCCCUCGUCCCCACCCUGGAAUGACCUUUAUUUCCAUCAAGCUUCUAGAUCCUAUUUGUACCGAGAGGAUGAGGCGUAAGCAUAACAUUCAGUCUGGUCUUAUUGUUGAAGCGGUAAUGUUUAACAUUAUUUAUUUUUACAUUGUUAUUAGUUUUCCCUAAAAAAAAUCCUCAUAUGCAAAUUCUGGUUUAAUCAUGAUCAAUUAAAUAUUAGGUGUCAAAAGAAUCGAAUGCUGAGAAACUUGGAAUCCGCAGGGGUGAUAUUAUUGAAAGUUUCAACGGAGUGUAUAUUUCUACUACAAUUGAGGUAGGUAGUAAAUUGGAAAAGGAGUAUAUAUAUAGGCAGGGAAUGGAGAGUAUAUUCCUACUACACUUUAUGCUCUUGGCUUUUGUAACUUGUCAGUUGGAAAAGAUGUUGCUGGACAUAGGCGGGGACCAUUUUCAUCAAGCAAAAGUCUUAGAUGCCGAAGUAGAUAUUCGAGUAAGUUACUAUUAUGUUUUAACUAUGGAUUACUUAAAUUUAUGUCGACCAUAGCACUUUGAAAUAAUAUUGUUGACUUUACAGAUUCAAAUAUUUCGUGCCACGGAACUUUGCCGAAGAGCCAGAAACUUGACUGUAAUUGUAUCUGAUUGUGGAGAAGACAUCAUAGAAGGUAAACAUCUUUUUUAACGUAGCAGUUGAUUUUUGCUGUGAAUCUUAAGUUAUCGUAUUUCCCUCUUGUGUAGAUUCAAUCUAUCUUGUUCACCAAUUGCCCUGAGCCUUUAUUUUAUAUGUGGUGUGUUUAAUCGAACCUUGAUGUUUUUUAUUUGUGUAGGCACUUACCCUAUCACUGUUGGCUUUGGAAAAGCGAUCAACUGAUUCUUUCAUGGAGCCAAUGGCACUUGCCCUAUCCAUGGUGGUGGCAGUACCACUGAUUGGGUAAGUGCCAAAGGCCCUCGACAACCAGAGCCUGUCGCUGUCUGCCGUCAUCGAUGACCGGGCCCUGCCGCUGUCUGCCUGUCUUUGUAUGCUGCUACCAGUGAACUUCGUGCUGCUAUUUUGCUGUCUUCGUAUGCUGCUGCUGCCACUGAACUGAACUUUAAUGUAUGGUUGCGUUGCUUAUGUGGACUUGCGUGCUUAUGUGGACUUAAUUUCGCUUUUCUGAAACUUCAGAACUUGUGAGUUCAGAAUUGAGUAUUAUAGAUGAGUUAUGUUAAUUGUCACCUGUUUUGCGUUGUUAUGCUGUUGAAAUUUCUGCUGAAUAUGUCUACUGUGUAUGUGCUUAACAGAAAUUUCAGUAUAAACUGAAAACCGGAACCGAAUCUUUGGCUUUGCUGAUUCAGUAACCAAUUUCAGGUACCUGUGCUGCUAACCGUAAUAAGAAAAAACAGAAUUUUCGGUUUUAACCGAAUGCCCAGCCCUACCGGUGGGGCUGAUAUUUAUAGGCUAGGUGUCCAUAACCAAUGACCAUGGCUACCAUUGGUGGUGGAGAAAAGGGAGGACAAAAUGAGAAAAAAAAAUCUUGGUCCAUUGCUUUAUGGUGCACUAAGUGGGAAAAGAGGGCAUUUGCCUCAUCCUUCCAUUUAGGGUGGGCGUAAAAAACCGGAACCAAAAACUGAAUCAGAAUUAAUCGGAACCGAAACUGAAUUAAUCGAAACCAAAUUAACCGAUAAUAAAUUUGGUGGCUAAGUGUGAUUCGGUUAUUAACCUCGUUUGACGGAAUAAACCGGAUUAAUGAAAAGUAAUCUAAAACAUACGCAGUUACACAUUGCAUGAAGUGAUUCUGAAUUUUGAUCUAACUUAAAUUUUGAUCUAACUUCAAGGCUGCACGACCUUCGGUUAUGUCAAUGUUUUUUUAUGAGACUUCGAGCCAUAGUCUUCAAUUAUUCUAUCAUUUUAAUUGACUUCAGUGGAUUUAUAAUGAUUUCGUAAUUCUCUAAAUUUAACUCUCAACAAAGCUAAAAGAAAACUCUGCAAAACAGAUUUGUUUGUUUUUAGUGUUUUCAACUUUCUGGUACCAACUAGAGGUUUCUCGGCAAAUACUCCUACACCGGUCCGGUGCCCUUCCAUUUCACGCAACAUCGUUGUCACUUGUCACCGGCGUGAAAUUAGCCGUGUGCGUGCCGCGUGCGACAUCUGAAAGCUGCUUAUUAGCUGCUUAUUACUACUCCGUGUACGUUUAGUGGACGUGGGAUGAAUAUGUUGGUGUCUUUAUAAGUACCAGAGAUAGAGAUAAAAUUUAAAAAACUCGACAAAUCCCCGGUGCAUCUCUCUGCAGCUCGCAACGGGCCAACGAGAAGAGGAUUCACGGCGGAGGCAAAGAGGAAAGAGACAGCGUGACGUGGCAUCUCCAAGGCGCUCUGCCUUCCUGACAUGUCAUCCCUGACGUGCGGGCCCGGGACCUCAGCCUGUCCACGUUGAUCCGUCAGCGCAUCAGCGGUUCGUGACUCGCCUUCCUCCGUCCUUCAGCGCGGAUCGACCGGGACUCCUCUGUUUCCCCCCAAAUCUUCUCGUCUUCUUCUUCCACCGCUCGUUUCUCCAGGAACCUUCCAGAAGCUUCUCGAACCGACAGGCCGUGUGGUGCGGGUCUCUAUCUCUAUCCUCCCUCGGGUUCUAAUCGCUGUCGAUUUGUCUCCCAGGCGUGAUAGCAUUCGCUGUUUUCUUGAUGUCGUAGUUGCGAGGGGGGCGCAGAUCCAGGGUUUCCUCCUGCCAUGGUGAAGGAAACCGCCUACUACGACACCCUGGGGGUCAGCGUCGACGCUUCCCCCGCCGAUAUCAAGAAGGCCUACUACGUCAAGGUGAUUGAUGGACGGACGGAUGAAUGAUUCCUUUGUUGCGUCCUUGAGUCUUCAGCGCUAUUGGGCUAUCUCUGUGCGCUAAAUUGGUUGUGUUUUUCAGGCGAAGCUGGUGCAUCCGGACAAGAAUCCUCGGAACCCCGACGCGGCGGUGAAACUUCAGGUGGGUUUUGUUUUGGUGCCUAACUGCAUGCCUUAUAUUGACGCUGUGUCAGUUUUGUUGUGGACGAGCAGAAUUGUGUGGCCAUAAAAGUCCGUUGUUAUAGAAUUCAUGUAGCUAAACUGUGUGGUUUGGAUCUAGGUGUGAGCUAAAAUAUGAGUUAGGAAAAGAAGAGUUUGGCUGUGGCAGCAUCUUACGUCAGCAUAGUUUGAUCGAUUAGCAACUGGUGUGAUGUUCAGUGCCCGUAUAUUCUGCAUAUGUAUUUCAUUUUGACCAUGCCUUGUUAAUGAUAGGAUGGUCCCUUGCUGAGUAGCGCUUCUAUGCUCAUGGAUGUAAAUGCGGAAUCUAUUAACUGUAAUGCUUAUAUGGCAUCAAAUGUCUCUUUAAAUGAUAUCCCCGAUGCGCAGAUCAUUGAGUUAAAGCUUGCUAUUAACAGGAACUCGGGGAGGCCUACCAAGUUCUAAGUGAUCCAGCUAAAAAGGAGGCUUAUGAUAAGCAUGGAAAGGACGGUCUUGCCCAGUAAGUCAUGUAUUUAUUGAGUUAUAUGCUUUAUUAAACAGUAGGUAUUUUUCUCAAUACAAUGUUAGCAGACCUUUCCAGGAUUGUUCUGAUUAAGCUAGCUGUCUGGGAGCAUAGAGUGGGGUGAUUUAGUGGAUUGUUGAUGUAGAGAGAAAGAGGAGGGCACAACAAGAAAAAGGCUUGAGGGGAACUACAGGGGGUGAAAAUGGGGGUCAAGUUAAGAUAGCCUCUCGAAUUUAUGGAUGGAUAGACAUUAUAGCAACUAAGUAGCUAUUUAUAAUAAGUACCUGUUGGGGGACAUAAAAGUAACUACUCUCGAGACAGCCGAUUAAAAACUCCAUUCAAGAUUCUACUUAUAUCUUUAUGCAGAAAUAAAAUGCUAAUUGGCUUCCUUGCUUUGUGGUUAUCUUCUUACUUGCUUAAUCAAUGUUGUCAGGGAUAACAUGGUAGAUCCAGCUGCUGUCUUUGGGAUACUUUUUGGAAGCGAUUAUUUUGAAGAUUAUGUUGGUCAGCUUGCUCUGGCAUCCAUAGCUUCAGUGGAGAUUGAUGAAGGCUCAAGUAAUCAAGAGGCCAGAGCAAAAGUUCAAGAGAAGAUAAAAGUAUGCUGCUUCUGCUUAAUCCAUUGCGCUGAAAUAUAAUCUAGUCUAGGUUCUGCCAUGUUGAUAAAAGUAUGCUGCUUCUGCUUAAUCCAUUGCGCUGAAACAUCGCACCCGGCGGAGCUUCCCGUUACUCCUGCGCGGAACCCUAGAUCGGUAGGGGGUGUUCGGUGGGGUGUGCGGCACAGCGACGAACCUUGUGUUGCGUGCCGCCGGCCCCCACCUCUUUAUAUUGCGCAGUGUAACAGGGGCCCGCCAACCAUAUUGGGUUGGGCGCCCCCGAUCAGGGCGCUGUAGAUCUAAGGGCCCGGUGGGCCGUUGGGCCCACACGGGUGGAGAUCAUACUAAUUUGAUUUCGCUCAAACCAAAUUUGCCACCAGCCAAGCAUGAUAUCAGUUCUCAGCCGGGUGCGAUGUUUGGCGGACUGGCAGCGAACAUCUUCAUCAGUCCACCAAUCGAGAGGAUGGAACGCCCGGCUAGGUUUGGUUUCUAGUUUUAGUCGUGGUGUUUGAUCUUGUAAUUGCCUAGCUGUAGCUUUUUGCUUCCUGGUUGCUCUCUUUCCUUCUUAAGUAAUGAAAAGCAGCGCUGCUGCAUUUUUGUCAAAAAAAAAGUUACUUCAGUGUGCAAGGGGAGGGCGCGGUCUCUGCCGAGCGACCCAGGGAGAUCGUAGCAUGCAUGGGCGUGCCUUUAACACUCAUAGCAGUUAAAAAUACAAGGUGAGAUGAGGAUAAUCAUAGCAGUUUAAAUGUUUAAUACAUAGCUGCAUCCACAAAGGGAUAUGAAUUACGAAAUGCUUUCGAACCAAAAAGGAAACCUUUAUCCGUACCCGGUAGCUAAAAAUAAAACAGUACAUGACUAAAUGUGAGUUUCAGGAGUAACCCAUCCCUUCAUAUGAAAAUGGCCCAUAGAUUUUGGCAACAAGUAAUUAUGUAUUAUCUUCCUCCAGAAAGACCAGUCAUGGUCGUCGCCACAGAAGCGCAUGACAGGAUAUGCAUCAUAUGCUGAUCGAAGUCUUCAUCCCGGGUAGUAAGGCUUAAAAAGCUUGCUUGGAAAUCUGGGAGUGACACAUCCUUUACAAGGUAUUGCAUAACUAGGCGCAUGCAUGGCCUAGCACUGUGUACUGAGUGUGAGCAUAGCAGGCCAAGCUUUAGUACUAAAUCUGCCUCCUCCUUGACAUAAUCUUGUAAUUUUGGGUCUACUGUUUUGAGUAUUGAACCGCUCUCCCAUGCAUCGAUCACCCAAUCUGUCAGCAGCACUGGCUCGCCAGAAUUAUUCACUUCUAUUGGGUGCCUUCCACAGGCAACCUCCAACAUGAACACCCCGAAUGCAAAAAUAUCAGUUGCCUUCGUUGCUCUUCCUAGCCUGGCUAGCUCAGGAGCAAUGUAACCCCAGGUGCCGGCCAAAUGCGUGGUGUGGGCGUCUGUUCCAUGGUUGUGCAAUCUCGCAAGGCCGAAAUCACCAAGUCUUCCAUUCAUUUUGUUAUCCAGGAGAACAUUGCUCGUCUUGAUGUCUCGAUGGAUCACAACUUUCUCCCAAUCCUCAUGGAGAUAGAGAAGACCAGAUGCAAUACCUUUUAUAAUGUUAAAUCUAUGUAUCCAAUCUAUAGUCCGGUUACCUUGACCAUGCAAAACUCUGUCAAGACUACCAUUUGGCAUGUAAUCAUAAACUAUAAGAAGUUCAUUUUUGUGACGACAAUAACCGAGUAACUGGACAAGAUUGCGAUGGCGGAGAUGACCGAGAAUAGUAAUCUCAGCUAUAAAUUCCUUCAUCCCUUGCUUUGAAUCUGGUGAAAUCCGCUUGAUCGCAACAUUUUUCUUGGAGGUUUGUAGAGUCCCUUUGUAAACCUUUCCAAAUCCACCUUUACCGAGUAGCAUCCUGUUUUUGAAACCGUUAGUUGCGGUCACGAGAUCUUUAUAUGUGAAAGACGGAGACCCACAAUCGAUUUCCCACUCACCACUUUUCCUUGCCUUCUUCAUAUAAAUAUACAGGGCAAUAAGCAUAACAAGCACGAUGAACACUGACAUGAUAAUAAUCGGUAAAAGAAUGUGACUGGAGGUAUCUGAUUGACUUUCUGCUUCCCUACGAACAUCGUCUAUAACUUCAGACAACACUGAGUAGUCAAGUGGUGUAGCCGCACCGUUUGGAUUGAAACUCCAGCCGAUAAUUUGGUGUAUGGACCAUAGGCGGGUUGCAGAAGCAAAGCCAACAUAGACUGACCUUGGCAACACGGAUGUGAGAUUAACAAUGCUUGAUAGCAGUGGGCGUUCAGGCUUCGGCUCUAAGUAAGGUGCUAGACUGACAUUCACGUGGCGUGAAUUGGCAUCAUAGUCAACCCAUACUUGCAUCGGUUCACCGCUAAUGAGUCUCAAGGUAGUGAACUUGCCAUCUGAGGUGUAGUAACCAGCAGUAUGUGAAUUGAUAGAUAACAAGUUGUUUACAUCGAUUCCAACAUGGUUACUAUCAAUAUCCCUGAAUUCCCUAUUAAACAAGGUAUCAAGCUCAAUAGCAAAGAGUUGGUUUGUUGUAUUACCGAGGUUUUCGUUGUUGAACAUUCCCAAGUACUGAGAUGGGAGGGUAUCCAACAAAGAGUCCGUCGUGGCAGAAAGUGUAAACGCAAGCCCAUAACCGCUAGAAUCACUGUACGGACCACUGGUGAUGACAAACACGAAGGUUGUCGAGAAUGAGGAAAUAGAGUUCAACCGGCCUCCAUAGAAAGCGCGCCCAACCCCCUUGUAAGUGCCAUCGGUUAGCUUGAGAGCUUUGCUUGUGAUUGAAGCUACACCAUCAAGCCGGAGCAUGCUAGAAGAGAAACCGUUGUAGGUGAAGCCAUCGUUGGUGUAGGAAGCAGAGGUGGCGGGGAGGAGGAAGAAGACACAUAGUAGUAGGGACCGUGGCAGCAUGGUGCAAUACUGCAAUUAACAAGGCACCUUUCUCUCAGGGAUGGGUUAUGAAAAUAAGUAUGAAAUAUAGUACUGAAGCAUGCGCCAAACAAAAGCAAGUCCGCAUCCUCCAUUCAAAGUUUGAUAUUUGGUCAAUAUUCUCGGUCAUACCGAGAAAAAGAAGGCCAAUUGAUAGGUACAGCACAGCACUAAAGCACAACUAACGUAUCAAGAAUGACACUGCAUAUGGUUGACUGACUUCUCUUUUCCUAAGCACGAGGGCAUAAAUUAAUUGCUACUGCAUUCUGGAACAAAUUAAGCUACAUUUUGUUUCUCCCGAUGCAUCAAAUAAAAUGUUAGAAAUUACUCUCUCCAUUCUAAAAUGUAGGGCAUACAAAUUUUGUUGACUGUCAAACUUUAUAAAUUUUGACACCAUGAAAAUAUAUUUCCUAAUGGAUAUGAUGAUACUUAUCUGGCACCAUAAUUAUUGAUAGUUUUGGUUACUAGUACAAUGCCCGUGCGUUGCCACGGCCUCUCAAACACAUGCACACGAAAACUGUUAGACUGAUUAGGCAAGCAUCGUUGAUGGCUGUUCAUGUAUGUGCCGGAUUGAGAGCUGCACGUGUGUUGAGACAUCGCACUUGGGACAAGACAAUAGCACUAAACAGUUUGAUGUAUUGGGACAUCGCACUUGGGACAAGACAAUAACAGUAUUAUUUAGUUCAUCUGGCAACUCACCACCAACCAAAAACUCCAGUACCACAUGUACUAUAAGAUGAGUUUAACUAACUUCCAAUGCUGUGGCUGUAAAACAAUCAACGCCGCGCAUCUUGAGGGUGCUGCAUCUGAAAGAGUGCAUCAUGCACCUCCUCGGCAGUAAUAGGUCUGCCCGUGGGGUGCUCGGCAAAAAAAUGUUAUGUCCAAUAUAUAGGUGAGAAGCGACCAGAACUAGAAAUAAAAAACAUCCCACCAUGAUUUAGCAGGCCUGCAGUUUAGAAAUCAAUACGGCCCACCACCCACAUCCCAUUGUAUGCAACAAUUAGAAGAAUCAAGGCCUGCUUUUUGGCCCCCUAUGGGGGCGCCCACUUUGUCAGCUUAUCAACGGGCCUGGGUGCGGGACUUGGUGAAAUUUAACCAAGCCCCCGUACCGCGCGUCGAACCCUAAGCUGAGCAACAUCAACGCGAAUCACCCGCUGCCACCGUUGCCACUCACUCCCCCACCUCGUAUUCGCCGGCGCCAUCCUUCGACCCUCCUCCGCCACCGCCGCCCCUCGCUUCCCCCACCUCGUAUUCACCAGCUCCACCCUUCGCGCCUACGCCUCCUAUUCUCCGACCGCCACCUCCUUGCCGCCGUGCGGCACUGUUCGGGACGCCGCACCGCCCCGUCCUAGCCACCCCUUCAUCGGCCAUCGCUCCUCCUCUUCGGUAGACCACGGGUAUCCCUGCUCCCUUCUUAGUACUAUUUAUGGGUUUUGUUGGAUCCAUGUCAUGUGUAUGGGUUAACUAGAUGCCAUGUCCUACCCCAUUGUGUAUGUCGUUGUCGCCCUAUUUUGUUGUCUAGAUGGAUGCGGUGGCGAUGCUACAUUGUGUAUGCCCCCAUUGUGUUCUCAUGUGUAUGGGUUAAUUAGAUACCAUGUACUGCCCCAAAGUGUAUAUAUCCAUCGCCCCCAUUGUGUUGUCGUGUAUGGGUUAAUUAGAUGCCAUGUACUGCCCCGUUGUCAUGUGUAUUGCCUCUGCUCCCCUUUUUGUUUUUGCUAAAGUAGACCGGAUCGGAUGCUAUAUGUACGUGGACUGCCCAUUGUGUUGUGAUCGAUCGAUGUUGUCAACUGUAUAGCACGCGAAUUGGCAUUGUUGCAUUGUGUUGCGCUCGAUCGAUGUUGCCAACCGUAUAGCACACACUCAUCAACGUUGCCCCAUUGUAGUGCCUAAUUUCAAAUGAAUUGGCUGUUGUAUAUAUAAAUUAUACUUUGAUGAAUAUGCUACUCCCUCCGGCCGGUAUUAGUUGUCUCAAACUUGCCCAAAUAUGGAUUUAUCUACGUGUAAAAAGCGUCUAGAUACAUGUAAUAUUUCGACAAGUAAUUCCGGCCGGAGGGAGUAGUUGUUUAUUAUUUUUAGUAAUUACCCUAGCUAGCUUGUGGCUUUUUGCAUGGAUCUGUAAACUAUGUGCCAGAAGUUUACAAUAAACGAUACCCUAGCUAGCUUGUGGCAUUGUGGCCUUAUAGUGUGUUAAGAGCAAGGACAAUAGUACAACAUGUUGUGCCUGCUAUUAGCUAAUGUCAUGUCAUCUAUAGUCAGUACACAGUAGCCAACAUGUGUAGUAGUUAGCUAUAAGGAAAACAACUUUGUUAAUUAUUGCUCACAUCCAUUCUCACAGGGAGCCUAGGAACACGUGAUGCAGCUGCAUGUUACUUAACAAUCAGCUUCUCUCCUCUCUCCUCUUCUCUUUCCUCCAACUCAACAAAAAUAUAAUAUUUAAAGUCUUACAACCCGUCUAUAUCACUCUAUUGUACUUGCUCUAAUUGGAAGAGAGAUGACCAACGACCUGAUUGUGUGAAUUUGUCACCCCCUAAUAACCUACAAUUUUAUGAUGAUAUAUAUUAUUGAUGUUAUUUAUGCUUUCUAUAUCCCAUAAAAAAUGCAUGUGCAAUAGGUGUUGAUGCCGAACACCAAUUAUAUAUUGGUUUCUAUGUGCCAUAAAUAAAGUAAUAUUAUGGUUUAUGUUAUUAUCUUUUGUAGUAUGAACGUCUAACAUAAAUAACGUUGUAUUUAUGAAACAAUUUUCCAGGACUGUCUGAAAGACAUUUGUACCUUGUGCUCUACUACAGCUAGGAAUAUUGGAGAUGUCAGCCAUGAAUGCUCGUACAAAAUCUCUUAGUGCUGAUGGAAAGUCAUCUACCAUUGGUUAUAGUUUAGAUGCUGGAUUUGCAUUGCUUCAAGGUAAAAAAAAAUCCUUCGUGAUGCAAGAUUACGAGAUUAUCGUGGGACAUAAUACAGGGAAAUGGAAGGUAGACUUCGAUCUCACUACUAUUGGAGGAAGCAAGAAAAAUAUUUCCCCCCAUCAUGCACGUAUAUUUUUUGAUUUCAAAAACCACCACUUUUCCCUUCAAGUUCUUAGCAUGAAGGGAUGCACCAUUCAAGGUGUCUUUUCCCUUCCUGAUAAGGAUCCCAUUAAACUAAAGUCUCAGGAUCUCAUCGAGAUUGGAGACGCAAAGUUCUAUUUUCUCCUACCAAGUUGUUCCAUCUCUGAUAGUUUUUGUGCUUGGCGCACUCAAACUCUAUCACAACCUUUGUCUUCCUCCUCUUUGCCACCUUCCUACCCCUUUUCAAUUAAUUUUCGUGGAUCCUCCUGCGUUAUUGGUUCUCCCUCGGAUGUUGCUGGGCAUACACAUAUUCCAUCACACCCUGGCCAUCCUCAUUUGUCUGAUCUUUGUGGCAAUUCUUGUGGUCAUGGAUGGGUCGAUGGUGACCAUGGAAUUACAGUUGGGACUGAAACUCAAGGAACAUCUAUGGCGCAAAGCAAGAGGUCUUCCGAUGAGCUGGACACGAAUUGCGGUCCAAUCAAUAUUGAACCACUUGGUGAACAUGGUAUGUUAUCUUUGUCACAUGCUUAAGCUAGAUCAUUCUUCCCGGCCGGUUUUAUUUUUUCUUCACUUUUAUAUACUAAAAUUAACAAACAAAAUGUUACUUGGUUAUAAUACUAAUGUACUACCCUUUCCCAUAGACUUGUUUUUGUGUUACAACUAUUUACCACUGUAGCAGAGGAUGGCUUUUAGGAUUUACGUAUAUUUAAAGAAAUGAAUGGUUAAAUAUUAUUUUCCUAGCUUUGUGUCCCAAUCUCCAGUAGACGGGUACCCAUGGACACAUGGAUGGGUCAAGCUUGUGUCUCUCAAUAUACAUAUUGCACAGGAAAUAUACUAUACUAAGUUUGCUAUCAUAUACAGAAAACUAUAUUUAAAAUCUGACAUUAAAUUUAUUAAUUUCCCACAACCCAUUUGAAGAAAAAAGACUGGGCCAGCAUCAAUCAUACGUCAAAACGGCCGGGAACCAUAAGCAUGCAGUUAGGAGGUAAUUCGUAUAUGAUUUAUUACUGCAAUAAUCUGCAACUAAGAGGUAAACUCCAAGGUCCCAACUUUAAUCAUGAGUUGUUGAUGAGAGAUUAGUACAAGGUUCAAAUCAGAGUUAUCUCACAACAACUCAUAAUUUUACAAUUAUAUAGAUGUAAAUAUAGGUAUAGAUAUGGAUAAACAAAGGGUGACAAAUCCUUCCUUAUUCCUGAAAAUUGUUGUUAUGCUGAAACAAGAUUCAAAACUAAAUACAAUGUCAAUGGUUUUUACCCAUUCUUAUUAGCAACACCAAUCUCAUGCUCUUCAGAAACCAUGAUGAUUUGAUUAUUACUCGCAUCUAUGUACUAUAACUUGGUUAUUCUAUUUAUGCAGCCAAGAAAGUUGUUGAAGAGGCGGACAAGGAUAUAGAUAACGAACAACUCUGUGUAACAGAUGAGAAAGAUCUUAUCUCAUGUCAUAACCCUGGGAGCAAACAACUGCAAACCUGGAGAAUGGAUGCCUAUGAAAAAACUCCAUGCAAAGGUUUGUUAUGCAAGAUUAUUCAUUUUGUUCUGUUUCUAGAAUUACAAAGAUUAGUCCAACCACCUUGAUUAACAACACUGAUAUGUUUUAGAGAAAGCAUACAUAGGUCAGUAAUACUUUAAUUUUUAAUUAAUAAAUUGUGUGUUAAGUUAUGAUAAAUUGCAAGCUUUUAAGUAACAGAGCGACACCUUAGAAUCACUGAACGAAAUAGCAAUACUUCCAUUUGAAGAUGUGAUUUGCUCAUGUCAAUAGGACAACCUUUACACGUUCCACCUGGAAAGAACAAUAAUAAUUUUUUAUUGCCUUUUUGUUAUUUCUGCGUUGAGAUUCCUACAAUAUAGUUGGGCUCAUUAAGAAUCACAUGAUCCUUCAAGAACCUUGUUUAAUUUGUAGGUGCUGCAAUAAUUUUGCAGUUAAAAAUGACCUAAAUUCUAAACGCUUGAUAUGUCAAUGUACCUAAAUUCACAUUUAGAUGUUUCCCUUUGAUUAUUGGUAGAUGUGCAUAUUUCAUCACUUAACUGCUUUUCACUUGGUAUCUCCUUUGAGAGUCCUACGAUCAUUACAGUGUCAUGUCACAUAAAUCAUGACAUUAUGACAAACUCUCAAUUUUUUUUUGGAAAUUUCGUUGUUUCUCUUGAUAGAAUCGGUGAGUUAAUUUGUCGGUUUUAACAUGCAAAGUGGUUUGAAGUCCAAGAAUUACGCCUUCCACUCGCUGUUACUGAAUAUCAAUUAUUUUUCAUAAGCAAAUUAUCAAAUUUAGGAUUUGUCCACGCCAUCAUUAGUUAGAUAUCUUUAUCAGUCUAGCUUGAUGACAAACCGUGACUACAUCCUACAAUAUGGUGAUGAUAUGCUUGUUUCACAUAGUAUAUAUCACCACACUUUUUGAUCUGCUAUGGAUUGUGCGUGCGUGCUGUGAACUUGUUUGUCAUGUAAACUAAUUCUUGAUUAUUUCACAGCUUAUUAAACACUUUAGUAAGAUAUGGCCUAGUUGGAAGGUCCAAAAGUACCUAGCAUUUAGGCCUGGCUAACGAGCGCGCUCGGUUCGUCAAGAGCUCGGUUCGUUAAGCUCGGUUCGUUAAGAGCUCGGAUCGUUAAGAUCGUUAACCUUAACGAUCUCAAACAAUAGUUCGGCUCGGUUCGAUAAAACCUCGCGAGCGCUCGUUAAGAUCGUUAAAAACUCUUUAACAGAAAUAGCUCAAAAGCUAGCUGAUCUAAAAAAUUUGGCAUGACCUAUUUGCUUGGGGUAAAUUCUGACAGCAAACAAAUUAUAUCAAACUGACAAUUAGGUGACAGUGCUAUAGAGAUUGAAAAUAACACAUCAGAUGAGCAGUUCAAGUGUUCAACACAAGACAGUAGCAAAAUAAGGGCCUAUUCCAGAGUCCAGACUUCCAUUCCAGUCACACAAAAAUCAAGAUAGGCUCACAGUCUCACUCACAGACUUCCAAAAUAAGAACUAGCAGCUAGGCCCAACCAAAUAACAGCAGAAUGCGCAUAGGUGGCACAGCGGCACAAACUAGCGGUGCAAUGCAUAGAUAAUAAGCAAUAACGACAACAUCGAAAUAACAGCAGCAUGCACACAACAGUUGCAAGUCUUGCAUAGUUGCAUUCAGGCAGCAGCAAACAAGUAGCAGCCCAUUGUACAUCAUCGUCGGUCUUUAGCUGCUUUCAACAUUAGCAACAUCUUCAGGAAAUGGUACAAACUCCACAUCAUCCUCAAUAUCAGGUUCCUGAAAAACAAAAUGGUUAGAUAUCUUUAUCGGUCUAGCUUGAUGACAAACCGUGACAACAUCCUACAAUAUGGUGAUGAUAUGCUUGUUUCACAUAGUAUAUAUCACCACGCUUUUGGAUCUGCUAUGGAUUGUGUGAGCGUGCUGUGAACUUGUUUGUCAUGUAAACUAAUUCUUGAUUAUUUCACAGCUUACUAAACACUUUAGUAAGAUAUGGCCUAGUUGGAAGGUCCAAAAGUACCUAGCACCAGAGGAUGGCUCAUCAACUGGAACGCUAGGCAAGCCAUGGCAGAACCUGUUGGAGCUGCUCUUGAAGCACCCAGAGCAUUUUGUCACCAACACAAUAUGCAGAGGUACAACGUCAGAGUUUGUUUCGCUAGCCUCCUUGCUAGACACUGUUUUCCUGACAUGAUGUUGCUCAAGUCAUCAUCAGUCCAUGGUCAAAACAAAACAAAACAAAAAGACUUGUCCUUGUUUGUAUCCCCUGCUCAUGUUGUAAACAUGUACAUCUUUGCGGUAUCUUUUAUCCUUAGUUUUUAUGUACUAUGGUACUAUUUGGGAGAGUUUUUAAAAUCUGGAUUUGGUAUUAACCGUAGGCCUAUUAUCUUUGUUGUUUGUCGUUUUCGUUUCCUGAGUUGCAAUGAACAAGGUUGCAUUGUUUCAUGUUUCACAAAUUUACAUGAUUGCUUCUAAUAGCAUUUUAUUUUUAAUACUAGAGCAUGAUUUUAAUUUCAAUUGGUGCCUGAAUGGAAGCUUUAACAUCUUGAUGAGUAACUUCUUCAUGUGUUUUGGUUCUGCAAAAGGCCACCGAAUAGCUUGGUUUCUUCAUGGAACUAAAUCACUAUUACGGCUUGAUGAAAAUGUUUGAGCAAUUUCUUUUGAACUUCUUCUAUGUCGAGACAUCGAAACAUGUGGAUAGACUGAACCACACUAAAGACAUAAAGGAGCAAGUUUAAUUUGGUCCAAAUUCAGUGUCUAUCUUGUUGUUGCGCAAAACACUCACUAUUCGUCUUUUUUGCGCAAAACACCUACUAUUUGACUAAUCGGUUGCAAAUAAGUCAUAACCCUAAUUUCAGCACGCUAAUGACGAUUCUGACCGGUGGGGCCACCCGUCAGUGCCAACAUGGCGGUCUGGCCUUGCCAACGUGGAUCGAGCCGGCGUGGCGGUGGCGCGCCCAGAGCGGCAGGGCAACGGCGUGCGGCCGGGCGCACCCAGCGGCGACGGCGCACUUGGUCGCAUUGGCGGCCGCCUUGCUCGCGCCAGAGGCGGCGGCCCGCGCACCAGGCAGUCGCAGCGGCACCCUGCGCAUGAUGCGGAGGCGGCUCGUGCUCGUGAGACGCGGUCGGCAGCUAGGACGGCGGCGCACGCACCCAAGGCCACGGCGGCGUCCGUGCGAUCGAGCGGCAAGGGACGCACGGCCCGAGCGCUACGUGCAGUGGCUCGGGAAGGCGAACGGCGAAGCACCGAACCCGACCUGAUCCACGCCGGCAAGGCCAAGGCACCAUGUUAGCACUGACGGGUGGGCCCCAUCGGUCAGAAUCAUCGUUAGCGCGUUGAAACUCGCUUUAGGACUUAUUUGCAAGCCGAAUAGUAGGUGUUUUGCGCAAAAAAGACGAAUAAUGGGUGUUCUCCGCAACAACUGGACCAAUGUUGAGUGUUAUGUGCAAUUUUGUGCAAUUUCCUCGUCGGAAACCGCUUACUACCAAAUUCGGCAUGUCCAUAUAGUGCCCUUGUACUAGCUGUUCUUCGCCCUAAUGCUGGGGUGUACUGAAAGCACCGUCAGUUCAAUUUGUUGACUCCGCAGCCGGCUUUCUUGCCGACUCCACGACGAAACCUCCUUCUUCCAGGACUAGGAGGCGGUCGAGGGGCACCAACGCCCGCUCUCGUUUCCUCUACUUCUUCUUCGUCGUCGGUGAUCUCCAUCUCCACAUACCCCUUCCGUUCAUACUCCUCACGGAUCCUGUAAUAGUCCAGGUCGGCCAACGCUUCCUCCUCGUAUUUCUCGAUCAGGUCAUCCGUGGUGGCCGCGAUCUGCUUCAUGCCCUCCAGCGUGAACCCUUGCUCGGCGAGGUACUCGUCCGAGUCACCGCCCGGGAUCCGGGCCAGCAGCCGAUCCAUGAACCCUAGAUCCAGCAGGCGUGUCGAGCGUCUUCUCGCAGGACAGCACGAAGUCGACGUAGGAUUGUGACAGGAUUACCUUCUUCUUCUCCUCCUCCUUCGAGAGCGGCGCCGCCGUCACUGCCUCCUGUGCGGGCGGCGUUGGAUCUACGGACGCCGCCGGUGUUGGAUCCAUGGCCGCCGGAGGAGCCUGCUUUGACGAACCAGACAUAUCGCUCCUCGCAGGAUUUCGCUAAAUUAAUGUUGGUUCUUCGAUUUGGAGCUCCAGGAAAUCGACUAGAACCCUUUACAACUCGGAAAUCGACAUGGGCACGAUUUGGUUUCAGUUUAUCGGAGUAGUUCGAUUUGAGCCCGAUAUUCUGUCCGGACCGGAUCCCUUUGUGACGCAAACUACCCACGGCCCAGCUGUAAAGGCAGCGGCCCAAUUCUGCAUCAUAUAUAGAGUUCUGCCUCGCCUCGGCCCAGUAAAGAGUGAAGGGUGAGUUGCUUGUUCUCUUUUUCUUUUUCUUUACCACAGAAUGAAUAGUGAGCUACUCUUGUAAAAAACGAAAUUGCGCUCUGAACCAACCGCAGCCAUUUUAGUGUCCACAGGGAGAGACUGAAAUAAUUAAUAACUUUACCUAGGAGAAGUUUCACGCCCAGAGCUAGCGGUAACAAAGAAAGGUGAUAACUCUCUUAUAAAAGAUAAAACAAGAAUAGAAAGACAUUAACGGUUAUUUAUUGAGGGGUUUUACGGUACAAUUUACUAAUUUCACGGGCAAGUAGUAAUUGUGAGGGCAUUUUGGGUAUCUGUCUUCCGAAAGUUUUAAUUUUAAUCUCGUCAUGUUACUAGUCCAGGUUAGGCAAAGGUCGUCACUUGCUCGCCACUCCGUACUGCACCUCCGACGGCGCCGCCCAUGCUCGCCAGUAUCCCUUGCCCUCCCGUCAGGCCGUCACCGCCUUCCACACCGGAGACAACAUACCUUGCCUAAGCCAUCCCUUUUCCCUCCAUCAUCUCCCUCCUCCCCACAUCAGGCAUUCAGUCUUGCCGAUCUCGUCGUCUCUGCAUAGCGGCUGCCGGCGACAACGACCCACCUAUGACUUCCCCUUCCGUCCCCCCAUCUCGAUCCCUCCUCUCUCUCUAUAUCAGGUGUCAGCAGGUUGUGAUCCUCUUCAGGCAGAUGCGUGUGUUAGGGUGAUGCUUCUGCUAGGAUUAACAUGCCAAAAAGUAUGCUUACAGCCCGUUUGAUAACCAUUGUUUCAUUUCAUUUGAUAGAAAUGCAAUGAAAUCCAUGUUUUGAUAGGAUUUCAUUUGGACGAAUUUGAAUUUCUUGUUUAAAAAUCAUGUUUAGCUACCACAUGAAUUUGUAGAGUAAGAGACAAUUUCAGAGAAAUAAUAGCUUUUGGAGAGAAAUUGGGGCUACUUAUAGUACAAUUUCAUGAAAUUUGAGAUUGAAUUCAUGUGGCCAAUUCUGCGCCAACCAAACAAGUUCGUUUCUGGAAUUCAAAAUGAAUCCAGAAUUCUAGUCCCAAAUGAUGGGUGCCAAACGGGCUGUUAAUGGAAUUCUGAAACGUACAGGCAGUGAUCCACGAGAAACUUUUACAAGAUCAGUUGAAGCAAUUUCCUUUUUGUAAUCUCUGUUUUGGAGGAUGCAAGGAACUGUUGAUAUGUCCUUCCCUGCACGCUGUUCCUCAUCCUCGCAUGUUACGGCAGCACCUGGAGCUCGCCGAGCUUAUUGCCUUAUAGCACGAGUGGCAAACUGGCAAUCAAGGCAGCCGCACCUUUCGAUCAUCUCACAUCGUUGAUGCCCCACUACUUCCGCACUGUUGCUUGCCGCCACCUGCCGCUCCUCUCUUCCCAGAGCCAGCGCAGGAGGGAAGAGGCAAUGGCCGGCGACCUAGGAUCGGCACCCUGCCGGAGGCGUGCAGUGCUGAGGAGAGAGAGAUCGAGGAGAAAGGAUAGAAAGUGGGGUAUGCAUUACAAUUUCUCAACACUCUCACUCAAUGAAUACUUGCCCGCCAAAUUAUCUAUUUUGAUGCCGUCCUUGGGAUUUUCUUAGAUCUACCAUUCCGUCCUUUCUUAAUUAUGUUCUUGAUGCAUAGAUCUCUUUUCAACCUCAUUGCAUCCUCCCGGCUCAGUUUUCUUCUUUGUCAUUCUCCAAACUUGCCACUUUGCGGCGCAGGCGGAGGAGAGGAACAAACAUGUCUCUCUAUGCCGGAUUUCGCUAAAUUAAUGUUGGUGUUUGUUGGUUCUUUGAUCUGGAGCGACCAGGCAUAAAGAAGCCUAGCUGAGGUACAGGUCGAACCCCUUAGAAUUCAGAAAGCGACAUGGGCUCGAUUUGAGUUCUGCCUCGGCCCAACAAAGAGGGGAUGGUGAGUUGUUUUUUCUGUUUUACAACAGAAUGAACAGUAAGCUACUCUAGUAAAAAAGGAACCAAACCAACCCCAGCCAUUUUAGUGUCCACAGAUAGAGAUCAAAGUAAUUAACAACUUUACCUAAGAGAGAAACGAUAGAAGUUAUUUCCUUGACACGAUUCUCUAGGAUGAAUGUGGCAGACUUGAAGAAACCAUUGUAGAGAAAAAAAAUUGCAUUAAUUUCAAAGCUAUGCGGUUGUGAUUAGGCCGUGAUUAACUGUCGCUUAGCGUUGUUACAGUUGUUUUGUUCACCAACUCUGGAUACAGAAGUACUGCUGCUAUUUUUUUUCUUUUUUUUUUGAGCAAUUUUUUUUCUUUUUUUUGAGAAACACAGAAGUAGUGCUGCUAUACAUGAGGCCCUGAUCCGAAGCCCGUUUUGGGGCCCAAAACUGGAGAGUAUUAAAUGGGCCUGAAAAUAUUUCGGGAAAAGGAAGAGAGGGCGACCAAGCCGCCGGCGACGGGAUUCUUCCAUCCCGAGCUCCAGUGGCGGCAUCGUCGACUCACCUCUUCUCCCCUCCGCCCUCCUCGCUACCAGCCCUCCUCCACUCUGCCCCCUCGCCGCUGCGAGUCCUAGAUCCGCCGUUGCAAUCCACCGCCGGUCAUUCUCGACGCGCGAUUCGCCUCAACAAUCCCCAAACCGUUCCAAGAUGCCGAAGGCCGGCAGGCGGCGCACGAGGGGGGAUCCGGGGACGGAGAGGGAGAGGGAAGCGAAGGAGAAGAAGAACAGAAACCUGGCAGAGGAUCGGACGGUGAUGUUCGCGGCC